UUUUUUUUUUUUUUUUUUUUGGGUUUUCUAUCUCUCUGAUCCUCCGUUCCAGCAAGGUAAUUUCUGGGUUUAUGAGCUGGAGGGAUGGUGUUGUUGGUGCUGUAGAGAUGAUGAUGAAGGGAUGGUGCUGCAGAAAUGAUGAUGGUGUGGUAGAGAUGGUGCUGUGGAGAUGAUGAUGAUGGAGGAUUUUUAAUUAUUUGAUUUUUUUUUCUUUCUGAUUUAUUUGAAUUUUUAGUUAUUUUUAAAUAUUAGAAUAUUUAAUUAUAUUUUUAUCUAAGUGGAGGUAGGCUCCACUUGCCACGUCACCUACCUAAUUGGUGAAUAAUGAUCCACGUGUACUAACUUACAAAAAACUACCCUUGCCACAUUAUCAGAUUUACUAGAGUUUUGGAUAGAAUUGACGACAUGGGCAAAAUGGAUCACCAAACCUUGAUCAAGGGGAGAAAGUAGGUCACUUUAAGUUUGAAAGAGCAAAGUGAUAUUUGACCGUAGUUUCGGAAGCAUUGGUGUAAAUAAGCCUAAUAUAUAUGCCACAUUAAAAUGUAAUUCUACUUAAAUAAAACUAGUUAUUAGCAUAUGUUGAUGUUCAAUUUCAAUGAAUAUACAUGUAGAUAUGUUAUAUUUUCAAACUGUGAAUUAAAACGAGACAUUCAAACGUUAUGUGGAAUCAAUCAAUAAUAUUCUCAGUCUAAACAUGUGAUAUUAAUUUCCAUAAGUUUUGUUGUUAGAUUUGAACGUAAUUCUAUUUCAUGCUCUUGUCUUGUGAGUUGUUGGCUUAUCUAAACGAUGCAGCAAACCCAACCAAACUAUCCUUGCCUUUAAGUUUUAGCCAUGCGUGUCCACCUUCCCAACUGCCUUCCUUUGCAGGUGGACCUUUUGUGUUUCAAUUUGAUGAGGAGGAUACUUGCAUUUGGUAUGAUAAAAUUGUAGGUGGGUCUCUUUUCUUGAGUUGUUGCUAGGCACGACAUCAGUGCAGUUGGAUAUUUUAAUUCUUAUAGACAAAAUAAAAGCUGUGUAGAUGCAAUUCAACAAAUUUGCCGUCCUUGAAUUUAUUGUUGUUUUUGUGGUAGUUGUAUUGUAUGCAUAUGCUUUUUUGAGUUCAAAGAUGAAUGUUGAUGCUGUCGGUUUAGGCACAAAAGGCUCUUCCUCUUCUACAAUCUAUAUCCUCAAUUCAAGUACGUACCAUCCUCAUUUAUAUAUUUUAGUUGUGUGAAAAGUCUAGCUUUUAUUUUCACAUUGACUCCUCGUUUCAUUAGACCAAAUUAUCUUUUCGUUUCAACUUACAAGGUCAAACUAAAUUUAGUCCAACCCAAGCUUCUUAAAAGGUUAACAAUGAAAAAUACUUCUUGAGAAUAAACUUCCCAUGUCUAAUAAUUUUAAGAGAUAGGAAUGGAGGAUGUUCAUUCUCAUGUUUGGGAAUGCUAGGAAAUGAGGACUAUGAAAUGGUAUUUUAUCACAUUCCCAUGUUUGGUUACUGCAGUAUUAGGAAUGAAAAGUUGUUCAGUUUUCCAACAAUACCCUUAUUUUUUAUUAUUAAAAGUUAUUGUUGAAAAAGCAGUAUUUAAAAAUAACAAUAUAGGUAAGCUAGUGCAAAAAGAGCUGCAUUAAAUGUUUUUCCAAGUAGGGGAAAAAAGUUUCCCAAGGUGAGCCAAGGGUAUGAAAUUCCGCACUACAUGGGAAGUCCAUUCUCAUGAGUCUAUAAUUACAUUAUCAAUAGUGCACUUACCAAACAUGAGAAUGCAAUUUGAAAUCUAUUACUAAACUCCUAAACCUUGAACCAAACAUAAUGGAGAAAUUGUAAAACUAAAUAACAGUGUUACGGUUUGACCCAAAAAUUACUCCAAGCGGUGAGAAUGAGUGAGAAAAUUGAUUAGAAUUAAGUUAGCUCAAUGAUUCGAACACCCAAAAACAUCAAAAGACUAGCAGUGAAAACUUAUUGUAUACCACGAAGUAUGCAACUUUCUUUCCACAAUAACAUCUCACAUGUACUCAGAUAUUAUUCUUGUUCGAAUUUCUUUAACAGUCGAAGAUUUUUUGGAUAUUAUGAUUGUCUAAUAUGAUAUUAGAGUUAUGGUCGGCAAGAUGCCCCAAGUGUACGAAACAGUCAAAUCACAACCCUGACUUCUUUGCUAGGUUGCAAUGUGCAUGGUUGAGCUGCACAUAUGUCCACCUCUGUAGCUGUUUGGAGUUGCACGUGGCGCGAUAAGGGUGUAAGCUUGAUAUACAUUGAUUACAUGCAUUUCCCCAAAACUUUAAGAUUUUGAAAUCUGGAGAUUGUUAAGAGUAUGCAUGCACGCUUCAUACGCAAGGAUGUUUCUUGAAAGUGCUUGGAAUUUUACUGCUUAUUAGGGUUUUGAAGUGUCUUUGCCUUUCUGUUUUUUCGAUCGAAAAUGAUAAAUCUACAAUUCACUUCUUGUCCCAUGCCCUGUAUUGUACCAGUAAUCAUCACUAAUCCACUUGAAGAUGUACCAAUCUUUUUCUCUUUUCAAUAACCUUUUCCCAGAACUGACAAUAAUUUCCGGAGUAGAGUAAGAUAUUCUAAGGAUAAUGUUUCAUGCACGAACAAAUGUAAGUUAAAUCGGUUGGACAUAAUAGUGUCGUUUGCAUCCGAGAUCUACGCACCAAAGCGAAGCCUUAUACAUUUCGAGCACUAAAAUGGGUCACUAGGAUUAAAGAUCCUAAUGUGAACGUCCGUGGUCAAUAGGGCUUAAAGAUCAUCCUGAUGGGACAAUAUUUUUUGUUUUUUUUGUUAUCUUCUCUUAUGGCGGAUGGGAAUGGUUUAGGUGGUAGCUCAAUGCUGCUUUCAGCCAGCACAUACUAUUCCUCUCUAGUUGGGAGGAAUAUAUUUGGGUCGUUUUUAAUUGGGAUCUAUUUGGGAGUACUUUAUAACUAAUAUUACUUUUUAUAACGUAAUUGGGUAAAUGGCACCAGAUAAAUACUUUUUUCAGGGAAGCUUCGGCAUACAGAUGUGAAAGGCACACCAUUAAAAAAUGACUCCAGCCGUAAGCAAAAUGUUACAUUAAUUGCUUUAUGCAUCUGCAGCCACAGAAGAACAGGCACAUUUAUCUAAUAUACAGAAUGAACUCUCUCACCUGUUUCUCCGCAUAUUAUACGUAUAACCAAUUCUACAAUACAAGGAACAAUGCAAGACAUGUUACAUAAAAUGACAGGCAAAUUCAUCCAUGUUGCGCACUUUUUGCCCCACUCUUUGAAUUUGACGAAAGAAUGUGAAUCUAAGAUACGCUUCAUCAGUAUGAUGGUUAGCUCCAUGGUAUUAACAGUUGAGGGUCGAGAUUCGCAACAAGGUCGUGCACGCUCAAAUGUGCACGGUUGUCAUUCACUAGUCCAAGCGAAAAGGAGGUACAACUAAAGAUUAGUUGGCAUCAGAUGCUUCCUCCGUGGAGACUUGAAAGCCCAUCUCCAGAUCAUGAUUGAAAGAAAAAUAAAUAUUUAGUUUAGGGCAUAGUGAACCCGCUCAAGGAGUUGCACAACCUGAUUAACAGGGAUUAGCGCAUAUCGCGAUUUCAAACUGGGCUUUACGGUGCCUUGUGCCCCAAGAGGUGAUGAUAAUACUGCCUCUUGUUGCAUACCAGUCAGCUCCAAGAAUUGAGAGAGCAUGUCACCAUCAAGUAUCUUAGGUACUCCUACCUGCAUCAACAAAUAACACACACAUGCUCACACCCACAUCACUCAUCCACACGGGCAUGAUAACGACAUAAAAUAUUCAUCUUUACAUACAAUAACAUCUGAUGCACCCCAUAUUUCAAAAUGAAACUAUGUAUAAUGUAGCAGUAUUCUUUUUUUAUUUCUUACUCUCAAACUUAUCUCUCCAGCUAAUCAAAGGCACAUUAGAAUUGAAAACCACACCACCAAAUUUAUUAAGGUUUCUGUUGGAAACAAUUUUCUCAUCCAGUUGUAAUCAAUUUUAAGAAUCAGAUUCUAAAUAGAACUGUCAACCGUGUAUUAUACUAAAUGAAACUAAUCUGAUUAAAUUUGGAUGCUGGCAUCGACCAAUUUCUUUGUCAACCCAAUCACUUUAAGCACUAACAGAAAUAGCAACACAUUCAUGGUAUACCCCCGUAACAAACUCCAAAGGCAAAAGGGAAAAAGAAAACAGGAAAAAUAUAUCGAAAAGAUAAAUAACAUGACAUAUUUUAUGCACAGUACUAGUGUUCAUGCACAUGUAAGCAUGCUAGUAUAUAUAGGAAAAGAUUUACAAGAUCCUACAGUUCUUACCGGAUUUUCCCGACUACGAUACUCAUUAUGAUCAUUCCCAAGAAUAGGAGCAGUUAAUGGAUGCACCACUAGUCUAUCUUGGACAGCUUCUAAGAGUUCAUAUUCUUCCCUGGAAAACAUAAAUAAAUAUUUUAGUAAAAAAAAUCAAAUAAAUUUGAUAUCUAUUAAGCAUGGUGUUAAAUUCUAAUCACGAUUUACAAUAAAAAGACAAACACAUUGACCAUCUACUAUUAAGAAGAACAUUGAACAUUUGUAGAAGUAACCAUAGAAAAUUCAGUGCAUCUGUGGCUCGGGCAACCAAUAAAGACAAGAUGCAUAAUGCAUAUUGGUUUAUGGUGACUAGAGACUUUCACUUUAGGAGGGUAUAGAUGAUUAGUACCUUAACUACAAAAGUCAGGAUUCUUAGAUUUUUCAUUGAGGCACCUAGCUUAACAAACUAACAGACAUUUUCUUCAAAAAAAAAUUAUGUCUUUCCAGAGGCAGCUUCACUAUGUUAAUGGUAAAACGAGUUAUAAAAACACAGGCUAAAUCCCCAGAAAUUGGCAGUGAGCCAAGCUUACUUGCUCAAAUGAUCAACCACUAUGUGUAGGCUAAUAAUAGCACAUAAAGACUUUAGAUGCAUCUCUAGGAUGUCUGACGCCUUUUAUUUGACGUCAGGUCUAAAAGCAUGAUGGUGCAACUUUUUUGAAAAGGAAGGUUAGUAAAAGGGAAUUGGAAUUAAGGCUAUUUUGCAUACCUUGAUAUUGGCACGAAGGUUAUUAUGCUUCCAAGCAGUGUACUCACAAUGAUGGCGUUUUGUGAGAAGUCGAUAUUUCCAUCACAACCCUUCAAUACAUCAUCAGCUGGAAGUUUAUAUGAAAAUGAUCCCUAGAAAGAAAAUUAUUAAUGUAACCACAAGGUAAGCACCAAGACAUUUCACAACAAUUUAUAAGAUAGUUUCAGAACCAGAAGUUCUGCAACGAAGCAAUAGAAAUAGUUUCUGAAGGUAUGUUUUCUAAUAUAAUAAUAUCAAGUUAUCAUGCUCUCAUGGACAUUUCAUCAUUUCUAUAUUGCAAGCAUCCACUUACGUAUGCACUUUUGUACCAAACUUUAAAGUCAUGAUGUAUAUUAUUACUUUCAUUCAUUAACAAAAGAAAAAAGUUGGUCUUGCUGAAUGUUGCUUAUAAGUUACAGCCCAUUCAUGUUAGUCUUUUAUAUACUCAUGAGUCAUGAAAAUUAAUAUCUAGCAGGAGCAAAUUAACCUUGUAAGGCCUGCUUUUAAAUCGGGAUCUCUUCACUUAUUUUGAGGAAAAAAAAUACGAGUCUUUAACUAUUAGGGUUUGUUUUCCUAUUUACUAGAAAGGUUUCUUGUUGGCUUUAUUUCCUCAUUGGGGUUCAACUGCCAAGUACGGCUGAUUGCAACCUACAAAAGCAGACUUGAUUAUUGGAGUGAAAUUACAGAUUUUUUUAUGCCAGGAUUGAUAUUAAAGAUUGAAAUCCUCUCUCUCUCUCUCCCCCUCCCUCCCUCCCUCCCUCCCUCUUUUUCGCUUUCUUCCUAAUUUUUCCGCAUCAUCAUUAUAUGUCAACUCCAGAUAGGUAUACCUAAAUUCAAUUCCUUCAGUUACUUCAGGCAUUAACAAUUUGAACUUCGAACGUUUAAAGGCUAUAAUCCAGUAGCUAAGAAGACACAGAGUAAAGAUGUACCUUCCUGAUGCUCAUAGCUAUCUCGCCCAUAUAAUAAGCACAGCUCACUGUUAAAUUACAUUCUGGACUUGCGGUAUCUGGUACACAGAAUUGUAAGAAGAAAAAAGUUAAAACGGUACCACUUCCAGACGAAGCAUAUGAGCAUGAACAGGGUCUGAAGACAAAAUGAUAGAAACCAAACAAUAUGAAGGUAUUAAUAAAUUUGACUACCACCGUUAUUUGUCUGUCAAGAAUCCACCACCACCAUACAUUGAUAACACUAACUCUUGACAUUAAACAGCACGAAAUUUAUGAAGUAGUGUAUGCUCAUUAGCAUUUAAUUUAAGGCUGUCUGAAAUAUAAAAAAACCAUUUGUAAAACAAAAAAUUCAGUUUCCCACAAAAUAAAUUUCUACUUCACCAUCAUGCCAAUUGCAGUGGAGCAUUUCUCUAUAAUGAUUUAAAUCAUAGAAUCUGUUCCCGACAAGCAAGUACCACAUUAGCAAUGUUUUCCCAACAUCGUGAUAAGGAAAAUGCAUAUGACUAUGUUACAAGCUUCAUGUCAAUAACAAAUAAGUUGUGAAAUAAUAUAUCUGACAAGUUUCUUCCUUUUGUGUUUUCUAAAAUUACAAACCGUGUAUAAUUCACAAAAUUUCUAUAUUUCUGACCAAAUCAACUUGCAUAUUGUAGUCAAACAAGACAAUCAUUUUGAAUGCUAUACAAAUUGGUAUCAGCUAAAAAAUCAUACUUCCAAAAGACAAUCAAUUUCUCUUCAUAUUUAAAGCAAAUACACAGAUAGUCCAAUGUUAAUCUCUAUAAACAAUUUCUGAGCUGCACAUCCUGCUGCUUCUGUUCCAACCCUCAACUGGGUUUUACAGGACUUAAGCUGGAAGACAAAAAGAUUUGCAGACAUUGAUUUACAAUUUCACAGGAAAUUUAAUCUUUUACCUUCUAAAUAAUCUGCACAAGAAAGAACAGCAAUGCUUCCCUUACGAUCUGAAACAACAGCAGUAUUGACAUCCAUAAGAAUGCAAUCAGCAACUAAUCUCUGACAUGGAUCAAAGUAUAGUUGCUGCAGCUUUUUGGAAUCCUUCCACACAAGAAAGAGAAGCAAACAAUAUCAGGACAAAUAAUACAAAGUACAAGGUGUGACCAUAUUGUAACUUCUAACGUAAAAGUUACUUAGACAAAGAAAAAUAAACAACAACAAAAGGAGAGAGAGGGGAGAGCGAUAAUGCUUACCUCAUGAUAAGCAUAGAAAAGGACACCAUCACGACAAUCACCAACAGCAAUUGUAGUGAAAUGUGCAGUCAAAGACGUAAUCAUAAAACGUGUCCUUGCCCAAGCAAACUUUCUCACUCUUUGGGAAUUGUCAUUUGGAAACCCGCAUACAUAAAACUGAGAAAAGAAGACCAAUACCUUCAUCAACAGUUGUCAUGCAAUAAACCAGGUUAACCUUAUCUUCCAACUACAAAACUUUAAAACAUGCAUAUAGAACAAUAUAUAGGGAAAAAAAGAAGAAAGAAUAAGAAAGAAAGAAGUUUGCUACUUACAGCAUUACCAGAAGACGCCAAGAAGUAACGAUCAAGAUAAGGACAGAUUGCAAGCACCAUCCCAGGCCAUUUGGUUACAUAAGCCAAUCGAAACUGCCAUGCUUCAGUUUCUUCAAGUUUAAUUCCAUCACAGCUCGUAUCAUCUGGGCUACUGCAAAGACUACUGCUUGAAAGCUGUUCUGUGGCAUACCCAACAAUUUCAUGAAAUGGAGAUGCUCGUUGAGAAGAUGACCCUGCCUUUGAGCAUAAUGUCAUUGAGCCACUGUCUGAAUUUUGCACAUGUUCAAGACAGAGAACAAUAAGACGUCCCUUGGUACUGUUAACAAGAAUCCAGUUAGAAUGCAUGCCUAUCAAACAAAAGGAAUUGAGAAUGACCCUCAAACAUUUACACAUUGACACAUUGCCUGGAAAUUAGUUAACAUUGAAGAUCCUGAAAAACUUAUAUUUAUAACUUGAACCUUUUAAACUCUGAGGAAGAGAGAGAAAUAAGGACACGUGCUUUACCUCUCAGCCUCACCACUAGGCAUUAUGGCUGGACCAGAAGAUAAACUCGUCCCAACCACAAGAACCUGUUCAUUUCCAACCCUCACUAACUCCAUGGAUUUCCCUGUUUCACCGGGUUCAAGUUUGAAAGAUGACAGCACUGACCCACUAAGAGGAUCUACACAGCAUAUAUCGGAUGAAGAUGUAUCAUUACUCAAAUCAGUCCUCAUCACAAGCAAUAGCCUGCUUUCACUAUGAUAAAGGACCUCCCUCGGAGUGCCUCCAAGAUGAAACUUCUGCACAUUAAGCCUCUUACUAUGCACCAUCUCUACCUAGAAUCAUCAUAUAACAUUGACUAGAAUCAAUAUAUCCAACUUCAAGAUAAUUUAGUAUAAAAAAUAAAAUAAAAUAAAAUAAAAAACAUUACAAACAUGAGCCUCAUAGACUCACAAGCUUUUAAGCUCACAAGCAAGCACCCACUCACAUAUGCGUACACACAAGCGUAAUUUGAAAAUAAAAAGACUUGCAAUUCCUAUGCAUUGGGAGGUCCCAAACUCUACCCAACCUUGGUUAAGGCAUAACUCAGUCAAAUGUCCUUGGACAAUGCCAAAUGACCUCAGCAACUAUGCUAAGAUUUUCUAGGUUAGUGUUAGUUUAUUUACUACACCUUAUCAUUCUUUAAUAAAUUCAGUAUCAAAACAUUAGAAGCUAAUCAACUUCACAGAUUCGGCCAGUUCCACUCAUCAAUCUUGUUCCAAAUAUUGUCAGGGAAUAUCUCUUUUAUUUAACAAGGCAAAGACAUAGAGCACAAGUGAAAUUCCAUUUACUGACAAUACAUUCAAUGGGAUAUACAAACCAUCAACCUUUUGUUCCAAUAAUCAUAUAGGAACAUCUAGCCUGCUAGGACAUCUGUGGAAAUGCAUGAACAUCUGUCUAAUUCUAAUCAUAUAAUAGCAUAGAACAAAUUUUUUAACUGGAACAUAAUUCCCAUAGUCCUAUGUUCUGAAAGACAAUAGUGAUUAAGAAUGAAAAUAAGUAUAUUUAUUCAAAACCUCAAAAAAUACCAUCAAAUGGACACAAACAUCCACAGUUCCCAGAAGAAAAGGAAAUAGAAAUUCCAUGAAAAUCUAGAAAUCCCAGUUCUGUGAAAAUUAAAUAUAAACUAUAUAGAAAAAUUAGCUGCAGUUAAUAUGGUAAUAUACUCAAGAUAAACCUUUUUGUACAAGGCUCCAUACACUUCCUAGAUUGAAGGCAUAAUUACAAGCUGACAAGAGUAGAACUAGAAUCAAACAAAAACAUAUUGAUAAAACUAGAUUCAACAAAAUGAAAUAUAUAGACCAACAAGAGCACACAGCAAUAUGGAGUAGAACUCUCACCAAAUGUAGACAGUUCUCUGCAACAAAUAAAAUUCCCUUAGGGCAUUCCACAUAACAUACAGGAGUGACAUGUGUCGAAGAUUGAAAUGAGAUAGAAGUAUAUGAGAGGCUGUGCCUUGCAGUAUGCAACAACCAAGGCCUAUCACUGAGAACAACUAUAUCACCAUCUAGCGAGUCACUCAAAGGAACCAAGAAAACAGGGGUGAUGCCAAUCCGACGUGUAGCAAUCAAUUGAAGUUCAAUAGGAAAUUUGUCCUUUGUCUUCUCAGAGAACUUAACAUCAUAUAUUUUUGGGCCAAACGAAUUUGCUGCUGAUACACUUGGAAAAACAGUAUUUGUAUUAACUGAAAGAGAUCCAACAGGCAUUGUUGGGGAAGCAGGCCAUUCGAAACGAAGCAGCAUUCCAUUCCUCAAUCCCGAAAGGACAUACAAUCGGUCCACUAAUACAAGCCUUACAUCUUGAGGAAUGCAGCCACUAAUAGCAGUUCCCAAAGUAUUUGUUAACGAGAUCGUCCCAGAAGCAAGAACUCUCAGUCCUUCAUUAGGCACAAGAGACAAAACUUCCACUGAAGGCUUGUGCGUGCCAAUAACAAAGAUAUUACUGAUGUCAACUCCAAAUGGAAGGGUGGCAUCACAGCUAUUAUCCACCAGACUGGUUCCCUCAAAACGUUUCUGAGGAAUGGAAACACACGAUAAUUCAUUUUGCAAUCUCAAAUAUUGCAUUUCAUAUAUUUCAUAAUGAUGCGCCGAAAGCAAUCUAACCCCAAGAAUGAAUAAAAAGCAUGGAUUAGACGAGGAAACAACAAUUAGAUUAUGUCCAACAGCCCCCAAACUGAUACUCAUAUUUUCUGGGAACCAAGAUGUGCAAACCGGAGAAGGCAGUGGAAUACCUUCAGAAUGGGCAGUCUUGGUGGGUAAACAGAGCCUAACUGCAUUUUUGUGAAUCUGAACCAGCAAUCCAUCAUUUACAACACCGCAGGCCAAAGUAGAAACGUCAGGCUGAAAACCAACUGAAUCCGUCACAUCAGUAAAGCUUAAACCAACUGAUAAUACUCUGGUCUCCUCAACAAAUGAUAGCACAAGAAAAGAAUGGUAAGAAUCAAUUACUUUCAUUCGUAAUGUCCAAGUACCAGUAAUCCCUUGAUAUAUAGGUGCAGUCCUCAGUAGCUUUUCCACACUUAUACCAUUUCUAAUAAUCCUUAGUGACCCCUCCGGUGCCACUCCACAACAGGCAAACAUUUGAUCAUGUUUUUCAUCAUGGUAAUCCACAACUGACAUAUCCAGUACUGGGGCAAUAUUUUGAAUAGGACUUGCAUAAAGAAGUGCCCCAUUUUCCAUUUUCAAUACCAUUCCGUCUCCCAUCUCUAUUAUUGCAGCCAGAAACCCGCCUUCAACCCACAAAACUGCCUUGCUUGGUAAACCUUUGUAAAGACACUCAGAUUCUUGAACCUUAAGUCCAUCAGGACCAAAGAUAAUUUCAAUCAUGAAAUAUUCUCCUGUAUCUGCACAAAUGAUCAUUCUGGGACUUUUAGCAUUUCCCGGUUCCCAACUCCAUGAACACACAUGUUUGUAAGUCACAUUCACAUUGUAUUUGUCACCAUCUAUACACAUUGGAUCUAAAUCGCUUAGUUCUAGUAAAGCACAUGCAGCUACAUUAAAUAAACCUCCUUCAUCAUCAACCUGAAGUACUCUAGAUAGAUCACAUCCUCUAGAUGACUCUUGAACAAAAUUUGCCUCAUCAACCACAUUGGAUAAGAAAUUUGGGCUUGUUCUGUGGACACAAUAGGGGAUCUGUGCAUCUCUAAGAUCCAUUAGGAGAGCAUCACCCUCCCUAAACAUAAAAGCAAAUCCAUAAGAAUGAGGAACUUCAACAAUACUAUGUGCUAACGGUCCAUCUUCAGUAUACGUAGAAAUCACAUAAAUUUCUUGUUCACUAAUAUUCCAUCCCAGUAACAGCAAUUCAUUAAGGACUGCUCCCCUCCUGCAAUGCCAAAAUUUUCCCAUGUAUAUAGAGUCAUCAGAAUGUGAAAAUGACUUCUAUACUCAAACCAUGUAAACAAUUGCAAGUGCAUUUUUUUCCCCCACACACGCAUGACAAUCAUACCUAUUUAGAAGAAUGGCAAGUACAGGAUUAUGCCCCUUACUUGAUUGACUAGGAUCCUUUGAAAUAAAGCUCAUGCUCCAUAUAGUACCACAUAUACUGUUUUUUUGAACUCGGGCAGCACUAGCAUCUGCUUCUUUUUCUUGGGGGAAGACUAUUUUCUGAAAUUUGGACAACAGAACAUCUGAAAAACUUCGCAUGAAAAAUUUGUGGUCAAAAAGAAAAUAAAAAAGCUUCAUAUGUUCUUUUUCUAUACAAACAAAAUUCAUGUCAUUUUCUCUAAAAUAUACAAUACUGUGAAACCUAUAAUAAGAAGGGAAAGCAGCUCAACCUUAUCAAUAAUGUCACUGCCUCCAGACACUGAAACAGAGAACAUGGCCAACUGGUUUUCAUAAGCACUAGCAGCAAUGAAACAGCCACUGUAAAAGCGUAAACAUAGAAAUUAGGACUACAAAAAAAUAAUGGGACUGCCAAGAGCUUCUAUUUACAUAUUCAUUAGUUUAUGAAAUCUCUACCACAUGCACUAGAGCAUAAGAAAAGAACAAACAUAUAAUAAGCAAACAUAUGAACACGCGAAGUUGUGCUCUACUCCACGUACUAAACUUUCUUCCUAAAAAACAAAGCUUACAAUUAUUCCACAAAAGACCCACAGCUGUUUGAUAGGGGGAAAAAGAGGAACAUUCAGGAUUAAAAUGGUAAGGAAAAAAAAAAAGCAUUUAUUUAACAACAAAAAAUAUUAUCUUAUACCCAACUGCUCCACUUUUCAGUUUAACUUUCAGUCCUUUACCUAAUUCCCCCUUAUAUUCCCUCUUUCUUACCCACUUUUAUUUUCUCCCUCUCCUAACUACUAAAAAAACUACUUUUAAUUAUUUUACUCGACAAUGUUUAAGUUACACUUUUCUAUCACACAAGAACAUAUAUUGUUUGCAGAAUCUAAUGCAAGAUAAGUAAAAUUACAGUUAAUAUUCUAUAGCAAUAUCCUAAAGUUUUCCAGGAAAACAACAAGAAAUCUAGUAAACAAAUAAUUUGCAAAUCUUUAUUGGCUGAACUAGUUCAGGGUGCAUAGCAACUAGCUAAAGAUUUUAAACUAUUACAUGAGAAGACAUGACACGACAGAGCAAAUGAUUAUAUUGCAAGUAAAAAGUAAUUUCAUCAUGGAAAUUGAAAGGAGAGGAGAAGGAAUAUGUGUUUACCCAAACUACACAUAAACCAAACUAAGUUAUAAAACCUUUUUUCAAAAGUUUCAAACACAAUGGUGACUUACCUUGAAUCAAUGGCUAGCAUUCUUCCAAGCUGAUUCCUUGAAUUUCCAGGAUUAGAAAGUUGAACUUGUGUCACAGGAAAAAACCUACGUAAAACAUUUCCAAAUAUAAUAAGAGUAAGCAGCAGAGAAGGGUGGAUUGUCAGUGUUGACAAUUUGGAAUAUAUAAUUGGGAGGCAUGGUUAGGUUCCAUUAUUAUACUUGGCGCACAUCCUAAACAAACCAUUUGCACGGUAUUCGAGACGCUUACUGUCAUAUAGCUGGUUUUUUAUUUUAUUGCACUGUUCAUCAAGAAGCAACACCAAAAACGAAAAGUUCAAGAAAGCAAGAAAACGUAUAUUUACCUGUGCAUUUCAUUGCAAAAAGAGAGAAACGAGAGGUUCCCAGAAUCAGAAAUAACAACCAAAAGGUCUUUACCCAGCAUCUACCACAAGAAGAUGAACUUAUUUCAAUGAAUACAACUUAGUUAAUUUUUGAAAUACAAAAAGGAAGAAAGAAAACUGUAAGGUUCUCCAAGUAAACGAGAAACCUGUGGGUUUUGGGUGCGGAAUUUGUCAUUCGAGGGUAGGAUGGCGAUGUCUUUAAUGGUGCCAAACACAGGCUGCUCGCAUAUAGACUGUACAAUCCCAUCUUCACCAAUUAUGACCAACUCUAUGGAAGUCUCCUGAAUUUCAAAUUUGCCACGAACCAUUAACAGUUAGAUUAAGCUAUUUACUUCUGAGCUUAGGCAAGAUUAAUAUCAAGCAAACGCAGUUUUUUUCUUAUCUAAUUCCAACAAAAUUACAAUUAAAUAAGAAGAGCUUGAUCAGAAAAGCAGUACUCUUUGUUUCUAAAUCCAACAAAAUUACCGUCCUGCUCACAAUAGCUGCAGGAAAGUGGUGAACAACAUGAAAAGUGAGAGAGAUAGAUGACCUUCCCGAAGACGACGUCGUAGGAAGUGGGAAAGCGGAUGUGACCAUAGAGGACCUGAAGAACAACGCUCCCUCGGAGGACGCACUUGGCGAGGUAGUGAGAGCUGCUGGCGGAGGCUGAUGAGGAUGAUCGGGAAUUUGCAGACGAACACUCUUCCUCUGAGACCGCCAUUGACGAUGGCCCCGAGAAUUUCAAAGCUAGGGUUUUCUGUUUGUUUCUCGAUAAAACUUAAACGACUGUUUGAUUUUCCGACAACUAAAAGGUCUCUAUUUCUUAGGCGUUUGUCGUCAAGGCUCCAGGUGUCCUCACAGAGAGAGAUGGACUUAAUAAAAUUAAUUAAGACUGAUCAUGUGUUAUACUAAUUAAGUAAUCAGAUAUUUAAAGCAAUGAGGAUUUUAUCAAGAAUUUAAUGCUUUACAAAUUAAAACUCUAAUGAAAUUUAAAACUUAUCUUUUUGGAGGGAUUAAUGACUGUGACAGCAGAGGUGACAUCAUGUGUAAUGAUGGUUUUAGUGCUACUAGUAGUAAGGUGGUGGCGAGGUAAGAGUGUGGUGGCGGCAACGGCAGCGAUGCUGAUGAGAUGGUUUAUCGCGGUUGUUGUGGGGAGGUGCAGAUGGUUGCGGUGAUGGGCAUAGUAUGGUUAUAGUGGUGGUGGUAGCCAAAUAUGGUUCGGUUGGGGUGGUGGUGGUAUAGGCGAUGUGAUACAUAGUUUAUUUUAUUUUAUUUUUCUUCAAAUCUUUCACUCUUGAAAAUUUUGAAAUAAUGUCUAUUUAUAUAGAAUUGAAAAUCAAUAGCGAUACUCAUGAUAAAGUGGUGGUGGUGGUAUAAAAGAUGUGGUAUAUUAUUUUUAAAUUAUUUUUUCUCUUAAAAUUAUAAUUCUCUUGAACUCUUAGAAAUGAUAACUAUUUAGAUAAAAUUUAAAUUUAAAAUUUAUGACUUCGAAAUUCUAAAUUUGUUUCACAAAAAGAUUUUAAAUUUAUAUAUUUUAAUGAAUCCAAACAAAAGUGUAGGUGCAUGUCAAUUCAAAAGUUAGGACUUUUAUCUAAAUUCCAAAUUUAUUUUCUUCUUUCAAGCCUUUGCUGCUACAAAACAAACGCUACCCAACUUUCUUCCUAACUAUGAUUUCUCAACUAACACGCAUAUAUGAUGGAGCACAUCCCAUCGACACGUUUAUAACGAAACAACGCAUAAUACUCAAUAUACGAGCAUGCUUACACCAUGUAAGUUGGAAAUUAAGAAAAGUAGGUUGUAUAACAUGGUCUAAUCAUUAAACAUGACGUCUAAUACAUGGCCUACCAACAAGGACAUCAAUCAAUUUCAUACAAUGUUGUACAUGAUCGAACUCACGUGCAAGAAGACCGAAAAACCACCUGAUUAAUUGACUUAAACCGCAUAUCUUUUUUAAUUUGCAAUACACAAAUUCAAAUUUGACAUAAACCCUAUAAUAUGAAGAAAAAUAUCACCGAAUCAAUAGCUAGUUUAGUAUUCUCCUAUUGGGCAAUUAUAUGUUUUGUCCACCGUCCACAUUGUAAAUGGACAAGACCUUACACCAUAUUCAUGUCGACUCCACCUGUUUCACAAUUUUAAUGUCAAUAAUCGAUUAAAACUUGUCAAAAACGACCUGUCCCAUCCUAUGGUGCAUCAUUUUCAUCUUCCUGUUUGCCGCCCAUCUCACAAAUCCAUUUAUUGAACAUAUUCUAGCAAUAGCAGAACUAUGAAUUUUUCAAUAGGUGAAUUGUGCUAGCUAAAGUUAUUAGCUAAAAAUUUCAUUAUCAUUAAUUUAUGUACUUACAGUUUCAAUAAUUUUUUUUUAGAAAUAAAAGUGUAUAUUAAAUUAUAUAAACCAUGUUAGUUAAUAAUUUUAUUGACUUUUUUUCAAUACGUUUCUUUUGUGAUAAACAAUAUUGGGAUAGGGGUAAUCGAACUUAGGACAUCAAGUGCAAUGGUAAAUAGUCUCAACUAUUGGAAUUAGCCCCUAACAAUUUCCAAUAAACUUUAACAUAAAACAAAUACAUAUUAAAUGCAACCAAAAACCACAUAUUGUCAAAAUGAAAAUAUGUUCAACAACAUAAUUGAAAAUAUAUCUAUUUUAAUGGGUAUUUUUAUUGUUGCCCUGAAACUAAAUUCAUAAAGAAUUAGAUUUGUUUUGAAUUUUAAUAGGUUAAUACAUACUGGACUAUAUUUAAAAUAAGGCAAAUAUAUAGGUUUGAUUUUUGUUUAUCCCCAAAACCUCCCUAGGUUACAGUUUGUCCUAGUUCCGCCAGUGUAUUGUAAUGAUCUAUUGACUUUGUUGAAAAUGUUUUCUUCUUUGCCAAUCGGUAAAUAAGGGUUCGUUUGGUAUCCUACUUAGAUCAAAUUUUACAAACUCAAAAACAAAUUUGAAGUCCAAAACUUAAAAUACCCGUUUAGUAAGGCCAGUUUUAAAAACCCGAACCAAAACAAACUAAAAAACACCCAAUGAUUGAAAACCGAAAAAGUGAGGUUAUAUAUAUAUAUUUUAUCUCUCUCGCUCGCUCUCUCUCCUCUCUUUCUCGUCAUUCUCUCAUCUGUCUCUGUCUCUCAUUGGUUGCUGGUUCAACGCCAUCAUUUGCAGCUCUAUCAAGCUCACAGAUUUUUCCAUUUUUUUGUUAACUUCAAUUUGAGAAUCCGGGGUUUCUAAUUUUAAUUUUAAUUUUUUAGAUUUUAAAAAUAGUUUGGAGUUCAAUACCAAAGAAGUUUUUAGAUCUUAAAAUCACUAUUUGAAAACUCAUCUUUUUAAAAAGAAUUAUAAUUUUUGAGUAGGAUACCAAACAAUGCCCUAGAAUUUCAGUGCAACAAAGCAAGAGAGAACACUAUCAUGCACGCUAUCAAAUUGCUUUUACUCUGAUUACAAAGACAAUUGAACCUAUAAUUUUACUAAUACAUAAAGCAUGAUGAAGGUAUUAAGAUGCAACUGUCCAAGAGGCUUCAAUCCGCGGCAGCACGAACAUGAGCACACUCCCUUACUUUAGCACAAAAGAUGCGCCGGUGUCCUCCAAUGUUCCAAUAGACUCCUUGAGAAGUCUCUGUGCUUCUUCUCUCCUCCUAAACCAGAAAGUGAAGCAAAUAGUCACAAGCAAUUAUGUAACAUCCAAUCCGCAUGGCAAUUUGAUUACACAGUCAAAGUACCAGUAGAUUUAAGGAAUUUAUAUGCAUCUUUGAACUCUUACACUGACCACGCACACACUGCUUUUUACUUUUAACCUCAUAAUUCAAAGUUGCAAGAAAUUAAAUAUCAACAUUUCGAUGCCUCACAUACAAGAAUAGGGGAGUUUUUCUAUAACAACUUCUACAAUGCACCAAAAGAAUAGCCUAGUAGAUUCAAGUAAUUUUACUCUAAAUAAAAUGCUAUAUAAGCUAUUCAUUUAAAUGAUCAAAGGACAGAGAAAUUUUCCUUCAACUGUUUUGGAAAAAAAAGCAAAACAUUUCAGCCUCAGACCACAAAUCUUUUCAGUAAUUGUUGAAAGCAUACCUCUUUAUAUCCUCCACAGCUUGUUUACGACGUUGUAUCUGAAGUUCUAGAAUGUGAAUUAGCGUUGCCCUAGCCUGUAUGAUAAAAUAAAUUACAAAAUAAAGAACCUCAAAUACAAACCAAUACAGAGCAUUCUAAGACCCAAAACUAUCUUACUUGAUGGGGACGCAAUGAGUUGAGAAGAUGAUGCAAGUUCUUGAAGAUAAGAGAUAUAUCUUCCACUCUCCUCGCGUACUGUGAUGGUCUCUCUACAAGAAUAUCAGCCAGCUCCAAAAUGUGCAGCUGUAAUUCUCUGUUAAGUGACCUCAGUUCCUUCUUAUAAUCUAAGGAGUAUCACAAUUUUUGUCAGAGAAGCACAAAACAUUUUAGAGGCGAAAAACAAACGCAUGCAUAUGCACAAUAUUUCUUGUUAAUUAUUAUCAAUCAAAUCAUACUUUGCAAACCAGAAGAUACAUACCCCAUAACAUUCUUCUCCUUUCUAGAGAGGACAUUUGUAUUGCACUAAAGAAGGCUCAUUAAGGGAUCAUAUUUUAAUCGUAAUGUCUGAUCUAUCAUUUAUGACAACAUUUUCUAGUAUGGAUUGGAUAUAUGCCAUAGCCUAGAAAACUAUGCCAAUCUAUCAGAAAUGUGGAGUAACUGUAACCAAGAAAGGUGUAGAUAACUGUAACCAAGAGAAAAUUUCUCAGUCUAGUAACUGUGUUCUACCUUAGCAAAGAAAACCUCUCUUUUGCUAACAACUUUCUAAAGAAAAUUAUAGUUAACUAGUUUAUAAAAAUGAUAAAUAAUAAUAAGAUAAUUCAACCAAUGCUAAGAAGAAACUGCAAUAAAUGGUGAUCGCAACAAUGCUUGAAGCAAGAAAACGUUCACAUUAAUUCCUAAAUUUCAAAAGCAGUAAUUUCACAUGACAAAACAAAUAAUUAAAACUAGAACGGAGACAUACCAAUGUUUGGGCCUUUUGGAUACAGUUGACGCACUCCCUGAUCUUCCAAGCUCGGAAGAAUGUCAUCAGUCUAUAUAAAAUAAAAUAAAACUAAUUAAGAAAAGAUUACAGGGAAAACAAUGAAAUCAUACAUUGAUAACAUCAACACGGCAAAUUAUAGAAUUACACAUAUUUUGUAGAGGAUAAUCCAAACUCAACAUUCAAAGCCAACAACUUUAAAGGUACAUAUAUGACAUUCCUGGCUAAAGCAACUGCUAUAAAGGAGAGAUGGCAUUCUUCAAACAGUAAAUUCAACAAACUUUACUUUUCACCAAAACUUCCAGCAUCCAGUCAUUAGUGACAAAAGAAAUUUUCAGAAAUCAAAUUACAUAGUUUAUAUAAAUUUUGACAGGAAGAAUGCAAAGAAUGAGAAAAGCUCACAGUGUAAUUGCCACCAUAGCAAAUGUAUGUCCCUUCAAUCGGAGGGGGCGGCUCCGGAGCUGAUUUGGGAUCUUGCAAGUAAUCUUUGUAGAGCUUAUAAUAUGGUGGUGGUGGUGGAUAUGUCGCUGUAGCCAUUGCCAGCACCUUCUGGCCAAACCUAAAUCAACCAAGUUUAAAGAAAACAAUCAUGCCAAGGGCAGCUCUCAAAAUCAAACAGAAAACAAACUGAAAUAACCUAAUAGAAAUAUUAAGAAAUCACCCAAUUAUGUACAUAGAAACACAGAAUUUGAACCUAGAAACACAGUCUCCUUUGCAUCACGACAUUGACACCUAAAGCGAACACACAGCCACACAAUUGUUUAAACCAAACCAUAAACCUGCAAUUUCCUUUUAACAGAGACAAAGUACCCACACCUCCAUCUGCAUCUCCACCACAAUAUCACCCAAACCACAAUCAAAUGCAUUCUACCAAACCAAAAUCAAGCCCAUUUAAAAAUGCCAUAAACAAAACAAUCUCAAAAGAUUACAGGGAACCCGAAACCAUCCCAUAAAUUAAAUCCACGCCUCCAUAUGUAUUAGCUGCUGAUAGAAUGUGAACUUUGCAACGUAUUGUUAUAAAUUUUUUACAUUAGCACAAGACCUUGUCAUAAGAAACAACAAAUAGUAAUAAAAUAAAAAAAAUCUAUUCCCAAAUUAAAAUCAGAAAUUCAUAACAAUACAAAUGUAAAAUUAUACACAAAGCAAACUUACCUGAACUCAAAAAACCUACUCCGGCAGCUGUACUGAAAUUGGGAUUGAUGCACAGAAGCAAUUGAUUUACUGAAAGAGAAAAAAGAUAAUUAUAUCACUCGAAAAUUAAACCUUUAACUCAGAAAACAAAUAUAAAGCUAUGGAAGAGAGAGAGAGAGAGGAAUUGGAGAAGGAAAGAGAAAAUCAGAAAUUAGGUAAGUUCAAUCCGUGGCCGAUUUUUUUUCGAGCGAGAAUGGAACCGGAACUGGGCGUUCCUGGUUGGAUUCGCCAUAACCGGAACCCUCAUCUCCAAGUUCUCUCUUGACCUCACUGAGGAAGAUGCUAAAACCUCACCUUUCGUUCAGAGGCUCAAGAGGUGAUUUCUUCUCAUGUUGUGGAGAGGGAGAUUCGCGUGCUUUCUCCAAGGACUAUGAUAACAUGAGAAGAAAAAUAGACAAGGAGGGAGAGGUUUGCUUUUUAAUAUUUAUUUUAUUCAUCAUACUUGUUGCUCAAUUAUAUUGUUGAUCCGGUUUUUCGGAUAAAAUUUAAAUAAAUAAAAAAGAGCUGCUAAACGAACCUUAAAAUUAACUGAGUACACCAUAUGAUCUAAGUACAUCUUAAUAUUUUAAUUAAAAUAUAAAAUUAACUAAGUACACCCUAUAAAACUACCAAAAAUAUCCAUAAUACACUCUAAUAUUUGUAGCAUUAUUUUAUAGUUGAUUUUCAGCUUGAUUUUUUUAAUAGUGUUUAUAAAUCUUUGACUUUUCAUAUGGAUUUAUGCUUCUACUAAAAUUGUUGACACUAAUUUUUGCAAUUCCAAGUUCUUGCAAUCACCACCUCUUUCGUUAAAAACACAAUAGGACAAGCAAUCUCUUGAUUAGGGUUGAAUAUGGUUAGUACGGUUUUCACAAUUCCAUAUAUCCUUUUUGGUCAUUUUAUAUUAGAGUAAAUCAGUAAUUCAAUAUAUACUUUUAUAGUAGGGUGUACUCAGUUAAUUUUAGGGUUCGUUUAGCAGCACUCAUAAAAAAUUGAUGUGUUUUCCACUAAAGUUUUUUAAUUGCACCUUGUAGUUUAUUAAUUAUUGCAAGUUGCAACUAGGUCUAAAAUUGUCUAAAAUGAUUUAAUUUGCAAUCGUUAAUAAACUAGAUAGUUAAAUUAUUGUGUGUAUCUGAUGUCGUAUGUGUUGAAUUAUAACACGUGCACACUUAAGGACGUAUUGUGUGUAUGUGAUGCCGUACGAAGAAGAAAUGUGGGGGAUGUAUGGGUGGGAUAAUAACUUGUUGAAAGGCAAUUACUUUAGGAAUUGCAGAAUUGUGGAUCGGCUAGUGACCCUUGGAAACCAUUUAUUGGCUUUGUGAAAACUUACUAGAAGCAAAGCUCAUAAAAUAUGCUAUGCCUCUUCUACUUGGUUCAAGCUGCUGCACGAGAUAACAAUGAGGAUGUUGUUACAUUUGGUGGAAGGGCUGGUAGUUUUCUGGUGCAAAAAAAGAAAGAAGAAGAAAAAAUAUUGUCUUUCUGAUGGCAAAACAAAAAUCAAAUAAAAUUCUGGUCAGGCACAAAUCUAAAGAGGCAACUUAUUGUUAACAAGCAAAAGAAAACAUGGCCGCAAUUCAAAAGAAAACACAAAAAACUCCAACUUAAGCCUCUAGAAAUAAACUCAAACGAUAAAAAAUAAUAGUUUCCAAGGGGGAAAAAGUUUCAGCCUUGCUUUUAUGCUAUGUUUCCUUAAGCACGAAUUCCUCUGUUUAGACUGACCAAACGGGUUGAAGUAUCCAUCUGAGACCCCCUUGCAGAUGAACUAGCUUGAUAUCCAGUCCUCCCUGACCCUCCAUAGGCAGCAUCUUGAUACCGCGUGUUGUGACCUGUUCCCCGGUACUGGCCUGUGCCUGUUCGAUCCCUUGAAUACCCACCUGCAGCUUGACCAUAUGCCAUUGAUCUAUAUCCUGUGCGCCCGGAGGCACCACCUUGCCUUCCUUGCGUGUAUGACAAGUUAUCUUGCCACCUGCCACUCACUGCAGUUGUUCCAGCACCAUAGUCCUGGCUGUCCCUACGCCUCAAAGGCUCUAUAGCACCGCCACCUAUCUUCAAUUCGGUUGCCCUUUCGUUACUUUCUGCAAUGAUUGACAAUUUCUCAGUCAAUUGGAAAGCUAGAUCCUGCAGCCUAGUGUGCUCGACAUCAUGGAAAACAAUGCAGUGUGUCGGCUGAUCCCAACUAGCACGCAGCUCAUCGUUGAUCAUCAUCUUGCUCACAAUGCAAUGAGCCUGCGCCUCUGAGAGCUUGAACAUCUGGGUGAGCUGUGCUAAACUUAGAGUCUUGUAUGCGGGGGAGUAGGUCAAGAGGUAGGUUCUCAGAGCCUCCUCCUUGAUCUUAGCCUCGAGCAUCUCAAGAACACUCUCGUGCUUCCUGAGGAGCUUCCAGACAUGAAGGGAACUGAUGACCUUAAAGGCCUUUUCGAAGUCACCUUUGCUGAGGGCUCUGGUAGCUGCCAUUACAUGAUCCCUGACAUUUUCAGGGGGUCCUGUGAAUGUUUGCUUCUCAUUCAUUUCAAGAAACCGCCUGAACGUUUUGCUAAUCACUCUGUGUUUUGUAUCGGGGAUGUUAGCUGCCGUAUUAGGCACUUCUAGCAGCAUGGCACAUAUCAAAUGAGCUGCCUCCAGGAGCUCAGGGUUUAUGUGCAUAUGGUACGGCAUCUGCCGUCUUCUCUCCAGCCUUUCCUGAAAAAUAAAAACAGAAACAAAGAAACAAAAAGAUUAGGGGGGAUCAGUUCUAUAAAAUAGAGUUGAUAGCAAAUUAGACAAAGAGCAUUACUAUUAUCUACUAUAACUAAAUAAGUCGGCACAGAAAAUCUAAUUUAAGAUUUCUUAGGCUCCAAUCAAAAUGCUCUGUUUAUGGUUUCAGCUUUCCAGAAUAUGUUGUUUCCCUCGAAUGGCUUGUUUAACCAAUUUGCUUCAUCAAAUCCUUCGGUUUGUUUCUUAAGAAUCUUGAAGAUUAUGCUAAAUUGCAAUUUGACAAAGAGCAGCACUCUUAUCGUUUCAUAAUUGUAACACCGGAAACUAAGCUAAUCUUGUGGCAGGAAUCAAAUUUACAACUUGUGGAAUCAGUUAAAGAACAUUCAAAGUUUUGUGUUUCAAUGACUAUAGACAAACACAAAAGGCACAGAAGCAGAGAAAUGCAAUAUAUAUACUCCUUUGCAAGAACAACACGCAGCCAUUUUCCCAUCCAAUAGCUCAAAAAAGAAAUCAAUUCACACCUAAGGUAAGAACACAUCGGGAGUUUCCUUGGGAUCUAGUCUGACCAAACCAAAAGUAACACAUCUUACAAAAAAUAUUAGGUCACAUCUGCUUAAAUUUUUUUUUCAAAUGGGACAUAAGAACAUUAAUAUUGGUAAAUCUGUUUGACGACAUAUGACCUUCAGCUAGUUCUGGAUUAAUUAGUUAUCUGUUUAUGGGUUUUCCCCUUAGAGCCUGCUUGUGGAAUUUUGAUUAUAAAUCUAUACCAUCAGUGCGCCUAAUGAAUUCAGGUCGUAAAGAAAGUAUGAGGAAAACAUAGAGAAUAACUCUAUAGAAAAACAAAACAAAAGAAUUGGUACCUGUUCAGGAGUUUUCUCAUGAUAUCUACUUUGGGAGACACCUUGUGCAAGCAACUCCUUUACUCUUCCACCAGAAUAUAGCUCAGAAAGGCAGCUAUGCCCUUCAGGGAUCAGUCCGCUCCGAAAUGCACACAGACCAAGUUGUGCCAUUGCCCUAUUAAACAGUAUUUGGGUGGAAAUGUCCAUAUGCGAGAUACUAUCUUGCAGGUGACUCAUUAGCAUCAAGUCACGGGCAAUAGAGAACUCGUCCAGGAGAGCAUGGUGGUAAAUGUCACAAAGCAUUGCUCGAGCUUUCGUCCGGUCAUCUCCAUACUUAUAUAUGAGGGAAACUAGAAUAUCCAUCAAGGCCCUAAUACUCUCAGUAAAAGUAGGUUUCCGAGGAACGAGCUCAGGAGUUAAAACAAAUGCAGGUGGACCUCGACUUUCCUCAACUGAUUUAGGCUCCUGGCCUUCACCACCAGUUUCACCAUCUUCUGUCUGCUCUGCCAAUAUCUUCAUGGCAGCAUAAACUUCUUGCGGUUUAUAAUACACGAGCUCAACCCGCCUUAGGGCCACCUUUGCAGCAGCUUUAAACCUUCCAGCUUUCUCGAGAUACUCUUGAACAUUUUGAGCAAGAGUCAAAAACAUAGGUUCAUCUCUGAGUCUUUCAAUGUACUCACGGGUGUGAGGGUCAAUGCACUGCAAGCUCUUGAAGAACUCAGUAUCUAUCCUUUCCACAAAGGCCACCAAGUUUCCCCAGACUCUGAUUGUCUCGUUAUAAUCUGGUCCCUUCUGGGAUUCAUUCUCAUCAGGCUCAAUCAUGUCAUCCACCGUAAUGUUAGGAUAUUGCAUCAGAAUAUCAAGUAUAACAAGCAUAUUCUGCACACACUUUUUCCAUACAUUUAUAGGCAUGUGCCCACUGAGACCAGGGUUCACAUCAAACUGAGCAGAAACAAGACUGAAAAGAAUCUCAAGCUUCUGUGCUGGGGUCUUAGCAACCUUUGUCAAGAAGGUAAGCUGCUCAACCUGUUCAAACCUUCCAGUUCCCUUCCUGCCCCGAGCCGCCACAACCUCUUUGAAUUUCUUGUUAAUCAUAUCCCAUGUGAUCUCACUAGGGUCCCUCAUGAACUGCUUGUCCAUGAGCUUAUCCUUCUUACUCAUUUUCUUCACCCAACCAUCCUCGUUGUCCCCAUCACCUUCUUCCUCUUCUUCACCAUCUCCACUAACCGAAAGCGCAAUAUCUUUUGGAUCCUCAAUUUCAGAACCUGUCUCUUCAUUCUCACUUGUCUCAUCUUCUACCCCCCCUUCCUCCUCGCUCUGCUCCGGAUUCUCCCUGUACUUACUAAUCAAAUCCUCAUAGUGCUUAUUGUUCUUCUUCAGCUUCUGUUUCAUAGCGUUCAAGGCCUUGGCAUUGCUGCUACUCAUCUUCUUCUUAGCAUCCUUAUUUGCAAGAGCCUGAGCCAAAAAGUCCUCCAACAAAACAAGCGCUUUGAUGUACAGAGACGGUACUUUUUCAGACUCAGUCACACGCAUCACCUUCUCAAGCUGCUUGUUCAUCUUGUCAAAGCAGUCCUGCAUGCUCACCCAGUCAUUUAUGUUCUUUGCAUUCUUUAUUUUGUCAACAGUGGCAUUCAUCUCAUUGAAACGUUUGUCCUUCACGGAUCUAACAACACGCUUCUCAUCCUCAGAUUCAUCGUCGGGAAGCACAUUGGUGCGGUAUUUGUUGUCAAUCUGUUUGGAAGUCUCAACGCUUGUGGCUUCAGCCUCCUCAUCAUACUCACUAUCAGCAUCCUCCGAAUCACUACCAGUCUAAAAUGACACAUGAAAAUGUUAUUAAAAAAUAAAGAAAACAAGGAACUAGCACAUAACAUGCAUCUUAACAUUUCAUCAAAAUGUAGAAUCCAGGAGUUAAGAAGAAAAUUUGAUCCAACUACGGAGGUGAAGUACAAACCUGGUUCCAGAACUUCGAUUCCAUUCUGUCCUACAACAAACUGAAACAGGUCGAGAGAAAAUCACAAGAAUCUGUUUGGUUGAUUAUGCGAAACAGCUUCGAAAAUCAGCCUCAAAGUUUAUCUUCCUGUUCAUUACAAGCCAAACCCAAUUCAUGAAAAUUGAAAAAAACCAAAAAGCAAACAACUGAUUCGGAAACAAAAUCAACACACCAGACAUAAUUCUCAAAUUUACAUACUGUUUUAACACGUUACAUGAUUUAUUAUACAAAUUAAAUUAACCAAAACUCAUUAAAACAAUAACUAGAUUGCAAUUUCUUUUGUUCUUUUACUUAGGCCCUGAAAAAUCACUAUAUGAUAAGCAAACACAUUCAUCCAUCCAUGUAUAUAUAUAUAUAGAGAGAGACAGAGACAGAGACAGAGACAGAGGGAGAGGGAGAGAUUGAAAAUGAAUUGGAGGCUUACAAUGGACGAAGAGAGCUUCCAAGCUUUGGUAGCAGAUUGUAAGGCAGAGCUUGUUUGUGUUAUUUUAAUUGAUCAGAGACAGCAAAGAAUGCCGAGGGUUUGAUUGCUGGUUGAGAAACUCAAUAUAUAAAGGGAUUCGUUUGGAAUCUGCUUUUUUAUGAAACCGUUUUGUUUUUCACGUGAAAAUAGGAAAACCAAUCUCACCAAAAAUAAAAAAGGAAUGUUUUAUCUGAAAAGGAAAAAAGUUGUAUGCAAAGCGGUGAUUCUUUCUUUUUAUAAAUAAAUAAAUAAAUAAAUAAAUAAAAAGCAGUGAUUCUUUCUCGGACAAGUUUUUUUUUCCGUAGCCCCCAAGCAAGACUAGACCUCUCCAGCUAACAAAUUCCAUUACCGUAAACUACACAACUUGGUCCCCAAGCAAGACAUAAAUUAAUCGUAUCCAUUUUUUAUUUUCACAAGUGAUAGUGGGGGAAAAUCGGACCUAGGACCAGGCCCGGCUCAUAGGGUAUGUGGGUUAGGCGACAGCACAACGCCUCAAAAAAAUGAGGCCUCCUACAAAACCUUUUAGCCCAAGAGUUAUAGUAACAAAAAGGCCUUUUAUGUGUGUAACUCAUACUUUUUCGGCUUUAUUUCUUUUACUUUCAUACAUUGGGCCUAUUUUACAUAAACUAACAAACUUAGCACCUAAGCUUGAAACUUUUCAUUUUAACUUUUGUUCAAAAUAAGUUAAGUGUUGAACAUAAAAGACCUCAAACCUUAGCACCAUUGCUAUCUAAAUGGUGAAAUGGUAUCUAAGAUUGGUUUAUUUGGAUUGCAGAUUAUGUGGGCAAAGCUGUACAGGUAAUUCAUUUUUUCCUUACGUUACAUUUCAUGCUUUUGCAUAUUUCUGAAGGCAGUCAUAUAUUGGUGCCUAUUGGUGUUUUUUGACAGUUCCGAGUUAAGUUUUCUCCAAAUGUGAUCACUCUAUAUGUUACUCUUUCAUUUCUAUCUUUCAGAUAUAUAGAUGAAUUAUAUAUCAUAGUUACUAAACUCUAUUAUUGAUGUGUACAUGUACUUGCUACUGAAAGGAAUGUCGUCCCAGUCGAAACCACGAAACCUACAGGUUCAUCUGGGAUGGGGGAAAGGAGAGCUGAACAACUUGUCAUGCAAGCUAGGAAAGAUGAGAAUGACAAAGGAGUUGUAAGAGGGUGGAAAGUGGGAAGUGAGCGGAGAGGUGCUGCAACACUGUUAGAACAGAGGGGUGGUUUGCAAGAGGGCUAUUUAAAUAUCAGCCUAAGAAGAGAGUGAUGUUUUCUAAAGUGCAAGGUCCUUUCUUCAAGGUUGCUUGGCUUCUUCGUGAAAUGGCUAAGGAAUAAGUUGGGAUGGAUGCACUUCAAUUAUGAAUUAUAUUAUGUUGUUGUUGACAUUAUAGUUUGGACUUGUGUAGUUGAUGCUAACAAAAGACUAUGAGAACAUCUCUCGAUAUUGGCCUACACAUAAUGAGUAUGGGAGAAUCACAAUAGCACAAAGAGAAGGAAAUCAUGAUCUUCAUUCAUGAAAUAAUACAUGAUAUUUUUUUCUGCUUUGGGAGCAUUUGGAUGAAAAAUACUUAAUGACCGAACAAACUCUCCAAAUUUACGCUUGAUGUCAAACAAGUCAAACACCUGCAAUGAGAAUAUGCAAAUUGUUAGAAAAACAUCACAAAAUUUCCAGCAGAUCAAACUCAUCCAAAUUACAAACAUACAAUCCCACAUUUCCAUACAAAUACAAAUAAACUUUGAUUCCCAAUUGAUUAACACAUAUUAAACCAGGAUUUUCAAAAACUCUAAAAACAACAAAAAAGAAAAAACAAUUAGGCAUCAUUUGCCACCAUCUUCUUCUUCUACUCCCUGUUUUUGUCAUGAGAGAUAUGAACCCAUUAAAGUCAAAAGCCAUGACUCAUGAGAGAUAUGAACCCAUAUAUAUAAGCUCCCAUUAACCCAAUAUUCUUUCAAUUUCAAAUGAGUAAGGUACAAAAAUACUCUUAAAGUAAAACAAAAUUUAAUGUAUUUAUACUUGUUUCAUGUAAAGUUAAAACUCGAUAAAUGCACAUAUUACCAAAUGCAAUUAGCAAAGCUGCAAAUAAAGAAAUUAUAAAAACCAAAACUACAUGGCUUGUAUGCUAUUGAACCUGCAAUUAUGCGUCGAUUUUGUUGAAUAUGCAGUUAGGGAAGAAACUAGAAAAUAGGUAGCUGACCAUAUCCAAAUGAUCAAGCCACACUUCGCUAAGUAUGAGGUCAUACACAGCCUCUACACCAAACGAAAAAAAUAAUUAAUUGCAAUUUGAAAUAAUAAUAAAAUUGAAUCAACAUUAAGUUCUUACCAAAGAAUUGUGUUCCCAGCAUUUCUGCCACAUGAGAAAUGCAACUGGACACCAAUUUUCGUACUUGCAGUUCCCGCUUCCAAUUGUAACUAGAAGAAGUCCAACUUUUUUGGAAAGUUGUUCCCAUGGAUUUUGUAACAGAGGUCCGUGAACAUCUUAUCAUCUCCCAAAAUGACACGAGCAGAGUGAGGCAGACCGGGACAUCCCAAUAGUGUCCUCACGUUCCUCAUCCAUACCCCAUGAAGAGUAAUAUUUAGGUUAUCUUUUUAUAAAACCUCAAAACAUGGAGCAUGACACUAAUAAUUGAAGGAAGUUGAGGUUCCACCCCGAAACCAAUUGGCAAUGGGGAGGAGUAGCCCAACUCCUUAUAAACCCAGGCUAGGUCCCUUAACAUUUCAAUGUGAGACAAACACUCUCAACACGCCCCCACACGUGUGGCGAACUUUCAAGCCUAACACGUGGACAACACAUAUUGGGUGACGUGGGAGCACGUGUGGCCGUUGGGCCCAACACGUGAAGCCUUGCUCUGAUACCAUGAAGGAAGUUGAGGUUCCACCCCGAAACCAAUUGGCAAUGGGGGGGAGUAGCCCAACUCCUUAUAAACCCAGGCUAGGUCCCUUAACAUUUCAAUGUGAGACAAACACUCUCAACAAUAAUAUCGCUGCAACAUUAAAAAAUGAAUACGAAUAAAUAAAAAUGAAAAACAACAUACUGCAGUAAAAUAAAUGAAUACGAAUAAAAAGAAUUGAAAAUUAUUAUACCUGUAUAUCGUACGCAGCUCCAGGACGAUAUAUUAGCUAUAUGGAUCCAUCAACUCAUAUGUAUUAUCUACCCAAUAUCCAAAACAGCAGUCUAUUGAUUCGAAAGAGACAAGUGUACUGCAAUCGAAAAACCUUUAGAAGAGAUUAACCGGCACCACGUAACGGGAGUCAAAACGCAACAAUAACAAACACCAUUCAUCUACAACUGAAUCAGCGUUAUGAAAACAAUGUAUACACCAUGAAUGGUGUUUGUUAUCGUCGCUAUGUGACUCCCGUUACGUGCUGCCCGUUAAUCUUAUCCAAAGGUUUCACGAUUGCAAUACGCUUGUCUCUUUCGAUGCUGCCUCGGAUAUUGAGUGGAUAAUACAUAAUAUUAACAAAAUAUAUAUAUAUUAGGAGAUUAAACUUAAUAAAACAAAAAUUAUAAAAUACUUACCUCGUUAGUACGAUUUUCCCCGCUUCUAUAGUUGUCCAUCACUUUUGCCAGGGCAUCUCUCCAUUUUCCUAACUCUUUAUUGAGAAUUUUCCACCUACUAAAUAAUGUCAUCUCCGUACGAGUAGACCCCGGAAUUUUUUCACAAAAGGAAACAUCUUCCAUGGUGCUCCAAGCCCCUCCGGUUUCAAUAGAGAAGCCAUAAAAAUAUGAAAUAAAAAUACAAGGUGAAAAAGAGGAAAAUGUUGAGUAAAAAGUGAAUAAUAGUAGAAGUAUAAUGAAAUGUAUGAGGAUUGGUGUUGAAAAUGAAGGAUAUUGAUAGGUAUUUAUAGAAGAAAAAAAAUCAGAAUUUUUAAAAAAAAAUUUCGAUUUUUUUCAUAAUUUUAUUGCCCAAAAAAUGCCCGCCGUUGGAUUGGAUUCGGAGAAGCUGAUCAGAGUGCUGAGGGCGCGACACGUGGCUUCUUCCUGUUGGAGCUGAUGUCAGCGUGCGCUGGUUCAAAUUUUUUUUACCGUUGGCGCGUUUCAUAAUUUUAUUGCCCAAAAAAUGCAAGCCGUUGGAUUGGAUUCGAAGAAGCUAAUCGGAACGCUGGGGGCGCGACACGUGGCUUCUUCCCGUUGAACGAGCUUGCUGACGUCACAACUCACGGGCUUCACCUCGGGUUGAACUGGCCUUCAGGCUGGCCCGAGUUGGUGGGACCCACUCCUAGCCCUGGCUUGGGCUCACCGCUGGAACGAAAUUUUUUUUUUCCCCCUCAGCCUUGGGCUCAGCUCCUGGUUGGACUUGCUCUUAGAGCAUUUCCAGUGGUCGGGUUUUGAGGAGGGCUUGGGGGUGUUUGGGCUAAAAACACAUUUCCAGCAGCAAAGGGAGGCCCGGGCGCGAGGUGGGACCUAGCAACUCGGGUUGGCCCGAGGGCAGGGCUGGCCUGAGCUUCAACCCGAGGUUUGAGCUGACGUCAGCGUGCCUAUACAAUGUCCUCAUUCACGUGGCGCGCGCUGGGCUCUCCGAUUAGAUUUUUUUUCUCUAUACCUCAUUUUCAUUUUCAACAUUUAAGUAAAUGUCUUUGUCCUUUUACUUUCAUUUAUUUUUAUAUUAUUCCAUUUACUUAAAUUUACAAUGUAAAUAAGGAAGUACCCCCCAUUUGGAUUCAAAUAAAAAUAUUAGAAAAUCAAAUUCCCAUCAAAUCAAAAUAUGAAAAAAUCAGUUUUAGUGCAAAAUAUGAUUUAUGCUACAAAUGAUGGCUCAUUAAGUCAAUAUAUACUUCAUACUAAAAUCCCAUAAAAUCAAGUUUUCUUAUUUGAUGUGUAAGGAAUAAAAGUCGCCAAAAAUUAUCUUGAGAAAAUGAUUAUUCUGAAAAACCAUUUUUCAUAUUGAGUCAAUAUUGCACCUCCGCUAAAAAAAUUUUGGGUCCGCCAGUGUCUAUAAAUACCAACCAAUACUCUUCACUUUUAACACCAAAUCCUCAUACAUUUUUUUUUUCUAUAAAUACCAACCAAUACAACUAAUAAAAUAAAAUACAACUAAUAAAAAAAAUCUUAUCGAAAAAUAUUAUCCAAAUUAAUUGUUUAUGUAAAAACAAAGUUGUGAAAAAAAAUAAAAAAAUGAAUAGUAUUUGCCAUGACAAAGGGUAAUUGCUGAAAACACACAUUGCUUAAUAUAGCAAGGGUAGCUACUAUUCACGUGAAUAGUAGCUGCCAUGGCCAUGACAAGGGGCAAACUGCUGGAAAGUGCUCUUAGAGGAGAGGCUUAACUAAAAUGCAAAUUUUUUUAAAAAAAUUGUCACGGUUUGCGAUAACCGCUAUUUUCCAAAAUCAAAUACCGUAAUGACAACAGCAAUUGCAGUUCGGUUACUAAAAUCGUAAUUUUCGAUCAGUUUUCAGUUAUUGCGGUUCCAAUACGGUACAAUGUCGGUUAAUUUUUGUGAUUUUUGAGUCUAAAAUGCCACCCCUACAUAUACCUGUAAUUCGGCCGGAUUGGAUCGAAAAUAGUCAUUCCAAUAUCCGUCCAAAAUCCUUCGGAAUUCAAUAAACUCUUCCGAUUCCGAUUCCAAAAAAUUCCGGAAAAAUUCAGAACUUUCUGAUUCUGAAGUUUUGAAUUCUUCAUAAUAUAAUCAUACUUCCUUUCUCAAAUCCUAGACCCAAAAAUGGAACAUCCCGCUGCUUCGUUCUUUCUCUUUUUGCCUUCUGUGAGACCCACUCCGAUGCGGACGUCAUAGCCUCCACCACAGUCAAACCUACCACAGCCUCCAUCCACCAUCCACCAUUCCCCCACCUAAUAACUCAGCAUUUUCACACAAUAUGAAUUCAACAUCUCCAAAGACAGAGCACAAGUAUCACUGUCAAACAGAACACAAUUAAACCCAAUCACUUAACCAACCAAUCGAACCCAAACAAGAAUAAGGAGAGUGAAGGAAGAAGAAGAGAUAGAGGAGCCAUGGAAGAGAGAGAGGGAAGAGAAAAAAAAAAAAAAAAAAAAAAAAAAAGGGUGCGGCGGCUGCAAAUGGAAAAAGAAAAAGAAAAAAAGAUGUGUUACUAGGGUAAGAACGUGAGUGUUGGAAGAGAGAGAGGGGGAAAAUAAACAAAUGAGGGUAAGUGGGAAAUUGAGAAAUUAAAUAAAGAAAAUAAAGAGGGAUAGAUAAGUGGGAGAUGGAACAUUUCCUUUUUUUUACUUUUAAUUUUAUUUAUUUAGCUCUGUACUUUUGUUUUUAAUUUCUGAUAAUAAUAAAAAAAGGUUUUUAAUUUUAAUAUAUAUUAAUAUAUACAUAUAUAUAUAUAUAUAUAUAUAAAAGACAGAGAAUGUGUGCAAGGAAGCUUAAGUUAGACUUUUGAAUUCUUUAUUUUUUAUUUUUUUUCAUUAUUGUGCUAAUUUUGACGUACAUGGGUUUAGAAUCUCUUCUUCCAAAUGAAGCCUUACAAGAGGGUGUACAUAUAACACGUAUCUAAAGUGGUGGAAAUAUGAAUGGGAGGUUGAGUUGUGUACAUGAUGGAAAUUUUAAAAAUAACAUAAUGGAUUAAAAGUUUACAAAAGGAACUAAUACUAUUUGUUCAUUCAAUAUCUUAAUAUGUUAGUCUUGCUCUAUACAAUUGGAAUACUAUAAUUGUCAAGCUCUAAUGAAUAUAUUUAUAUUAUAUGUGGUGUUUCAUGUAAUUAAAGUUUAAAUGAGCACGAGUCUUUGUGUCCAGUUUAAAAACUGUGCUCUAUGUACACGAAAUUGGCACAAUUGUUUGUGUUUUAUAUGAAAAGAGCACAUAUAAGACUUAUUUGUGCUUAAUAUUAGGAAGACGGGCACAAUACUGUAUUUGUGUUCUUAUGUUCGUGCUUGUUGACCAGUUUUGUAGUAGUGUGUGCAAGGGGUGAAUGUGAAUUUUGGGAAUGGGCUGGAUGUGCGAGCGAUCAAAGCAAAUAAUACCCGGUUUGCUGCGGAAGAUCAAUCACUUGGAAGAAGAAACAAAAAAAAUAUGAGAAACAUAAGGGGGAAAACCCAUGGUUUUGGGUGUCGUUUGCUUUUUUCUUGAUCAUUUGGUUGGUUUGUGCCAAAGAAAAUGGCAAUUAUGGUAGUGGAGUUUUAGUAAAAUCAGUGUCUUCAAAUUGGUUAAAAUUUUGAGUUACAGUACAUCCACAAAUGUUCACAUUAGCCAUUAUCAAAAAAUAAUUAUUACAAAGACUUAACUAGUCAUUGGGUGACAUUCUUUACUCACUAAUCACUAAUCAUCCCACUAAGCCUAUCACAAUUGGUCAGACUUCUCCCAGACCCAGGUUAAGUUUUCUGGUCCAACUUUAUGUUGAAAACAUGGUCUGAAAUUAGAUAGCAAAAGACAACAGAACGAACAACUAGAAAGAAGAAUUUAUAUCAAAACUGCUUUUUUUUUUCCUCUUCGUGUAACCAUAUACAUUAUAUAUUCAUACAAAUUGUAUGAAUUCUCUCUAUAUACACUUAUCUGCUUUUUUUCUUGUAAACAAUGUACACCAUAUACACCCAUCUGUUUCGUUUGGCAUCCCAGACAAAACAGAUAAAAUUCUCUACAGCAUUUACAUGAUCUUCAACGAAUGGUGUAUAAAUGAGCAAAUGGCAACGGAUUUUCUUUUCGUGCAGGUUUUGAAACUCCAGGAAUCCCAAACACAUUCCAAGUUCGAACUGUCUCAUCCGCGGCUGCAGUGGCCACAGUGCAUCCAUCUGGGCUCUGAAAAUAUAAACAACAGAAGUUACAAACAAUUAGAAUAUGUAACUACCAUAAGAAGUUGCCAUGAAAAAUUAUUCCAAAUGAAAAUCAAUCCAUGAAAUCAAAUACACAAACAGAAUUGAAUUCACAAAGUGCAAAUUAAAGUCCAAAUUAGUACCUGAGUCAUGAAGAGAACUCUGGAGGUAUGGCCAGUGAGCUCUGCCAUCCUCACCAUUGACGGGUACUUCCAAAGGAUAAGCUCAUUCUUGCUAAAACCAUGACAACUAAGCAAUUCACGCUCAUAAUUGUUCCACAAAAGACCACACACCUGCGAGCCAGUGUCAACCGAGCUCAAGCACGAGCCUGUUUGUGUGUUCCAUAUCUUAAUGCACCGGUCAAGUUCACCACCACCAGAGGCCAACAAAUUCUCUUGAAAUGGACACCAAGCAAGGGCCUUGACUGCUGCAGUGUGGUCUUCAAGCCUUUGAAGCCACUGUCUUGGUGAAUUGGAAGAGGCUGUUGACCUGUCCCAUAUGAAGAGAACAUUAUCGUUCCCUCCACUAGCUAAAUGCUGGCCUGAGGGUGACCAUUUUAAUCCACAGAUCUCGGCCUCAUGACCUUUGUAGGUUCCAACAAUGUGGGAUCUCACUCUUACAUCGUUGUUUAUAAUUCUACCAUCCAUUCCUCCUGUAGUAAGAAUGCGUUUGUUCCAGGCCAGUGAACCUACUCUUCCAUGGUGACCACCUCUCAAUGUUCUUAUCUGCAGUAACAAAAUCAGCAGUAGAUUAGUAUUAGAACCAAGGUUUCAUUUUCUAAGGAAAACAACCAACAAUAAUAAGCAACAACAAUGUUCUUACCAGUCUAACAGAGACAGAAUCCCAUAACUGGACCCAGGAAUUGUCCAAGCCGACGGCAAUAUGUUGCCCAUCAAGAGCCCAGCUGAUGCUUGUAACGGGACCAUCUUCAUCAUCAAUUGUGACGAGUUUUAUAAUGGAAUGGUUAGAAGGAUUCCAUAGGUACACUGAGUUUUCAAGAGCAAUUGCAAGAAUGUUGCUGCUGCUCCAGUCUAGUAAAUUCGAGUAGAAAUUAUCUACAACACCGGGAGCGUCCAUUGUUUUCUCUGGACCCUGCAAAAUCAAUUUGGAAGAAUUAGAACAUAAUCCACAAAGCAAAAUCAAUAUGAUCAUCAUUACAGACACAAUCCUAAGCACAAUUAGAUUCAAGUAUGAUGAUAUUAAUGCAAUUAUUAUACCUGAGGAACCCGUCGAGAGGGCUUGGUAGAUUUGGCCUUAUGAAGAGGGGGUGAAAGCAAUCUCCUCGGAAUGGCUUCAACUGGGGUGGGGGGCUUGUUCUUGAAUGUGAAGAUUCGUCCUCUGUUCAUGUUGAAGGUCUCAGUCAGUAGCUUCUGGUAUGGAGUGCUUGCAGCCUCCGGGUUCUCGAUUCCCUUUCUCCCUCCUCUGACCAUGUAAUGCGCGUAAUCAAGGUCCAGUGCCGCCCGAUUGGGUAUAAACCUAUCCAACUGUAAAUGCCAAACAGAUUUUAUUAGCCAGAAGAAAACCAAAAACCAGAAGCGUUAAUAAAGCUCUGUUUGGUUUCAAAGAAAAUGCCAGAAAAGUGAGAAUCUCUCAGACUUAGUGUAUCCUUAAACAGAACAUGUGAUUGGACAACUAGCUUAACUUUGUGAGUUUGAAAAACAAAAAACCCAGAAUUGUGUUUUGCUUGCGCUUGUUUUUCCUAAGUAAUCAAACAUAACGAUUCAACGCAAUUCUUUAACAAAUAAAAACCCUAGAAUUCCAAACGGACAGAUAAUCAAAAUACAACUAAAAUUCAAAAAAAACCCAGAAAAGAUUCACUUACAUUUUCCCAAUUAGGCUUUCUCAUAAGGAAGUUUUGUUCUCCAAGAGGGUUCCUGGUGUUCCUCGAUGAACUCAUUUUCCUUGUAUCGCUGUGCGUGAAAACGAAGCUGAGGCAAAUUGAAUGCGUGAAAACGAAGCUAAAGCAAAUUGAAGGAAACUGAAUGAAAGUGGGUUUCAACUACAGACUUGGAUUUAAAUAGGCAUCGACCGGAGUACAGUUGUAAAUUUUUGUUUCACGAAAAUCCUUGUCCUGCAAGGAAAACCCUCGAGCGGACCCCAGCUGGUCAGCUCCUUUAAACAAAAAUUCUUGAUUUUCCAAAUUUACCCUUGCAUUUUUUAGAUUUAUUUUAUUUUCACCAAGGUUUUUUUUUUAUACGAAAUUUUCACCAAGGUUACAAUUUAAAAGUAUAUGUCAUUUUACACUUUUCUCAUCUUAUUAAAAAAAUAAAUCUGGUGUCACGUAUUUUUUUUUCAACUUACAAACUUUGUUAUCACACACUAUUAAAGUGACAUGAAAAUUUGAACCUAAGAUUAAUCUACAUGUCAAGACAAUUUUUUACUGAAUUAAACUCCUUUAAUGGGUGAAACUUUCAUAAUCUCAUAAAUCCCACUUAGUUAAUAAAAAUGUUAAAAGAGAACACAUUUUAUUACAGAAAGAUAAAUUAGUACAUUCACAAUGUGUUGAAUUGAAUACACCCAUAAAUUAAAUUAAAUAAAAAAGACCAUAUUUUGCACUUGCCCAUAAAAGAGUUAUAAAACUCCAAAGCUGUAAAGCAUUUUAGAUAUUUUUUUUUAAUAAAAGUUAUGAAACUCUGUUUUUCAAUAACAUUUAUGUGGUUUAUGAGUAUGGAACUUGAAUUGUUUUGCAUGGUAAUAGAAAUACAUUUUUUGUGCUAUUUUCAAUUUUCAAUUUAUCUUUUAUAAAUUGUUCAAAACUUUAAUGGCCCAAACUUUAUAAUUCCUUGGAACCAAAAAAAAAUUUCAAAAUUCAUAUUUGAUACAACCAUUGUUGUAAAUGAUGGAUGACCCACAUGUUGAAAACGUAGAGUAACAUUGAGUGAAAUACUAUGUUUUACGGAAAGUUGAUGACUUGUAGGCUUAGUCACUAUUUACAAAUAAUAAGAAGCAAUUAUGAGUUAAUGUUGUAGAGUGAAUGCUCUGAUUGUGAAGCAUAUAUCAUCUGCCUAUAAAUAGAGGCAAUCUUCAGACUUUGAGAGACACAAAUCCGAAGAGAAAGAGAGAGAGAAAUCUAAGAGUUGGAAAGCUUUAUUCGAGAGAGAAAAUUCUAUCAGUGUAACACCACAAGAGCAAAUACAAUCACACCCAAUAUUCAGUGAUACUUUCAUACUCGGCCUAUUUUAUAACAACCAAUUGAUUUUAAAAUUUGUGUUAAAAAAAAAAACUAUGAGAAAAAAAGAGUCCUGUUGUGAAGCGGACAAGAAACACACUGCCUAAAACGCUAUAUAAAUAGAGAAGAUUCAAAUGUCUCGUAUAUAGAAUUCUCUCUCUUUUUGUUGUUGUCCCAGUUAUAGACCAAUCAAUUAUUCAAUUGCCAAAACCCUAAUCAUAUCGGUUCCUUUUCGGGUUUGGUGUGUUAUGUUUUCCUGCUUUGUAUAUAAUCACAGUUUUAUAAGAAAAAAAAAUUUAUACACCUGUUCUUUCGUUUGAUUUAAAUAUGGUAGUUCCAUUAAACUAAAACAACAAAAAUACAUUAACUAUGAAACAUUAAAAAAAUAAAAAUAAAAACCAUCAAACUAUAAGAAUUAAGCUUUUUUUUGAAGAAAGUGUCGAAUUAAUUAGAUAAGGAGAAUGCUAGCAACUUUCUCUGUAAUCCUCUCCUUUUUCCUUAUGACAUGUGUCACUUUUUCUACACUUUGUUAGAGAGAAGAUUGCUAGCAUUUCCCAUUAAAUAAAUGUUGUUCCAAAGCAAAUUAAUAAUUUUUAAUGUUAAUGUGUGAUUUUUAUUUGGGCCUUCAAUUUUUAAACUCUUAAGAAAUUCAUUGUAAUAUGGGCCUGACCAAUUACACAUAAUAUAUUCGAGGCCCAGGCUCAGGGUUGGCCCUGAUGCAAUUACCAUAGAAAAAUCUAGAGGCUUAGGACAUUAUAUUGUGUAAAUGCAAUCAUUAACAUUCUUAAUACAGGCGUAUAACCAAUUUAAAACAAAAGAGAGUAUUUUCAAAAACAAAAGAGAGUAUUUUCAAGAACAAAAGGACACCAAUGUUUUUCUUUUUGUUCUCUAAAAACUAACCAUGGCACUAAUGCUAAUGUUAACCUAGGAAUUCCCAUUUCAGCCCCAUUAAGGCGAUAAAUGGGGUUUCCUGUGUUGCUUUUACUUUGAAGAAUCUACCAUUUCAUUUCGCUUCCUAAUAUCAGAGAAGUCUUUGACAAAUAAGUUGCCCAUCAAACAGAAACAAAGAGCCCAAUUCUUAAGGGGUGAAAUUCUACAGAGUAGAUUGCCCCCAAUUGUUUAGCCCUCAUAUAGCCUCUCUUUUCCUCUGUCACACAGAUUCAUUUACUUUGGUUAAUACAUAUCUCAAGGGAAAGCAUCACAAAUAAAACAGGGAGGGGGGAGAGAGAGAGAGAGAGAGAGAGAGAGAGAGAGAGAGAGAAUUAUGUAUGUAACACAGUAAUAAUUAUGUCCACAAUAACCAACUUAGAACAAGAAGCUUUUUUGCCAUGUGUUCGAAUUUAUCAACAAAGACAUGCAACUCAAAUGCUUUCAAGUAUCAAGACUCAAUAAAAGCCCGAACAAAAGAGUUUGCCUAAACCGAAAAUACGAUUUAAAGACUGCCACCCCGUAGUGCAAGCACCAGAUGAAGGACAGAGCCCCCCUCAAUGUUGUAGUCUUUAGCUGUUUUGUCAUCUCCAAGCUGCUUGCCAGCGUAGAUAAGCCUGCAAACAGUGUAAAAUAAAUUAGAUAUUUGAAUCAAAUAUUACAUUACAAAUCAUUAAACAUCAAAAACAUCUCCUGACUUGUUUAGUUGGCCAUUAAACAUGUGGCCAAACAAUACCUUAAUAGGAGCUGUCAAGUAUAAAAUUAAUAAAAAUAACAAUGUUGCAGAUGCUGAGCCAUUUCAAAUAACAUGAGCUAAGAAGACAAACAAUAAGAGCUAUGUAAGAUUCAAUAACAAGAAGGCCGUGCCAUUUCUAAUAACAUGACCUAUGAAGACAAACAAUAAGAGCUAUGUAAGAUUCAAUAACAAGAAGGCCGUGCCAUUUCAAAUCCCCAAGAUUUUGAACCAUCUCUCACAAAAAAUUCAAAACACAUGUUGAAUCACACAAGAAGACAAUAUCCAAUUCAAACUAGAAGCAACUAAAAUAUCCCAAAUAGGAGUAUAAACAAAAGUUAUAUGUUGACAACCUAUUAUUUUGAACAAUCUCACCCACUGGAAAAGAAAUUCUCAGUGCUAUAGAGAUAGAGAGCGUAAUUCAUGAAUCAAAGCCUUUUAGAAGUAAAGAAAUAAUGAGUCGGUGAAACAUCCAACACUAAAAAGACAAAAUGGGCCAAUGGGUUCCCACCACAGUGGUGGUGGAUUCCCCCUCCCCCCAUGGCACCCAGUAUCAAACCCCAAUAGGGUUUUCUUUCCUCCAGUGAUACCAAAAAAAAAGGGCACUAAGUUCAUGCAUACUCACCGCCCAAUUGUAAUGCAAACACACAUAGCUAGAUCAAGGGAAAAGCAAUAAUCUCAGUACAUCAAUUUUUUAAUUCAUCAAAUUUACUCUAGUCAUAAGAAAUUCCAUGACCACAUGCAGCAAAACCCAAAUUAUAUUAUAUUUACCUGAAAAAUGGCAUGAUAUAUAAAUACACCGUGAAGUGAAAUGAUUAACAUCUAAUAUAUACUGAUGAAAAGACGAUGAAAACUCAGAAAUAACUUGAGUUCAAGCAACACAUUAUUUUAGUGAAAUAAAAUAUAAUAAUAAAAGAAAAUAUACCUUUGUUGCACUGGAGGAAUUCCCUCUUUCUCCUCAACCCUUUCCUUGAUCCGGUCAAUGGUAUCAUUUGGUUCAAUAUCAAUCUCAAUUUCUUUCCCAGUAAGAGUCUUCACCUUAAUCAUAGUUCCUCCCCUCAGCCUCAAAACCAGGUGAAGCGUUGACUCCUUCUGGAUGUUAUAAUCUGCAAGAGUUCGGCCAUCCUCCAAUUGCUUACCAGCAAAAAUCAAUCUCUGCUGAUCAGGAGGGAUGCCUUCCUUAUCCUGAAACCAAAUAUCUAUGAGUUACCAUGCAAUUCCAUGACAAAAAAGAAUAAUAAAUCUCUUUGAUGCAUAUAAAUGUAAAGGGAAGGAAAGAAAAAUUGCAAAAAGAAAAGUACAUAUCAAAGACCGAAACAUCAUAUGAUUUCCGGAUUUUAAAUCCAAUUCGCUUACAAAUUUCUACUAAGCUGUCUGGGUGAUUAAGGUAUUUUUCCAUGAUGCCGUAAAAAUACAUAAUUGAUUAGCUCUUCGUGAUGAAAAGUUGUUCUUUAAUAGAUAAAUCUACAGUUCAUUAGUAUCAGUUCAAGACAGAGGACACUCUGCAAGUCUGCUUAUAUGGAUUUCUUGUACUGCAGAAUGGUAAUGAUAGUAACAGAAUUAUGCAAUAACCUUACAGAAACAAUCUCAUUUCACAAAACUAAAGUCAUAAAGGCUUAAUCAUACAAUUAGGAACGAAAAGUUCUAUGGGAAAGACGGAACACAAAUAAACAAGAACUACUCAACCCAUUGGAUGACAGCAAAGGCCUAGUUUUUUGCAAAAUCUUCAGUUGUAUUUUUACUUGCCAAGAACAAUAAAACUAAACAAACUCAGAAAAUCAAUAAAUUUUGUACUCAAUAAAAUCCAGUGCACCAACAGCUCAAAUUAGAAACCCUAACCCUCGCUAUAGAAUUGUUCCAACAUAUAUAUACACACACAAUCACAAACUCUGAUACAAAUAUUAACCAAACCGAAUAACAAAAUCAUAAUACAAUAACAACCAAAUCUUAACUAGAAACCGAAACCCUAAUUAUAUCGCGAAGAAACGCUUCCAUAAAAUAAAGUUGUUCCUUUAAAUGAAUCAAAUAAAUACAUGAGACGAAAACUCAAAUUAGAGAGAAAUACAGUACCUGGAUCUUGGCUUUGACAUUGUCGAUGGUGUCGCUGCUCUCAACCUCAAGAGUGAUGGUCUUCCCAGUUAGGGUUUUCACGAAAAUCUGCAUGUUCUCUUUGGUUUUUGGUCUCACGGAGGAGGAGGGAGAGAGAGAGAGAUGUUUGAUGAUUUUGACUUGGAAAUCAAAGGGAAUAAGGGCUUUCCUUUUUCCAAGCAAAAAGUGGAAUAUAUAUGUAACCAAAAAAAAAAAAUAUCCUGAAUUCGAGUGUGAUUUGGAAAAUGAGAAAGUGUGGACCCCACGUUUGAGAUUCUCCACUUUCCAUUGGUGUUGAAUUAGGUGGUUCCAGCUUUUUCAGGCUGUAUUCAAUUGGAAUUUUCACAAUUUUUUAAAAAGUUUAAAAAUUCAGAGAUAUUCAAUCAAGAUUUUUAAAGAAGUGUAAUAAAAUAUUUGUUCUAAACUAGUGAUUUUUAUAAAGUUGAUAAAUUCUUAAAUAUUUUUAUAGAGUUUAUAGAAAUUACUAAUAAAUCGACAAGGGAUUUAGAUAUUUUGUUUGUUUUUUAUCUAUAAUGAUCUGCUUGACUUUUCUUUUGAUACGUUACCUCAUUAAAAUUUAAUCUAAAGGACUUUAAGUUGACACGUUAUCUUUAAAAUACAACCCAAUUUUCUCAUAAUUAAAAAAGGAAAAAAAAUCCUAAUUGAACUAAUAGGAACUUAACACCAUUAAACUGUUACGGAUGCAAUAGUGGGUGUGGCCUCGAAGGCGCUUCAUCAGGUGGUGAUGGUAGGGUCCGUCUAGGCUCAUGAGUUAUUUUAGGAUUUGGUUAUGUUGAGUUUGUGGCCUUUGUUUGGGCUUACGAUUAAUUGUGGUGAUUUGGGCUAGUAAUUUCAGUGCGGCUUUUGUCCGCGUUAGUUGUGUUUUUAGCAUAUUAGUUUGUUGCCCUCUUGGGAUUGGUACGUUAGAUGUCUUGUUGAUGUCUUUGAUUGUACCGUUAAAGUUUAUCUAAUGAAGUUUCUAUUUGAUAAAGGGGUAUGAUUUCCUCACUCCCAUUUUCUCCACUUACACUCCCUUUUGCUUUUUAAUACUUUUUAAUCAAUUUUAUUCUUUCUCUUUCCUAUUCUACCCUUACCCUACAUUAAUUUCAUUUUACUUCACUUUUAUAUUAGUUCUUUUUCUUUAUACUUAAUUUUCCAACUUGCACUCCAUUUUUAAUAUUUUUUUUUCCUUUAAUCGAGUAAGAAAUUAACUUUUUUUUCUCCCUAUAAUACUAAAAAUGGAGUGUAAGUUGAAAAAUUAAGUAUAAAGAAAAAGAAAUAAUAUAAAAGUUCAGUAAAAAAGAAAUUAAUGUAGGAUAAGGAUAGAAUAGGAAAGAGAAAUAACAAAACUGAUUAAAAAGUAUUAAAAAGCAAAAAUGAGUGUAAGUAGAGAAAAAAGAAGUGGGAAAAUCAGCGCCCAUUUAUUUUCAAGAAAUAUAAUAUAUUUUCAUAAAUAGCACUCUCUUUUUUCGGUCACUCUUAUGACAUAAUUGAUCACGGAUGGAUAAGAUUGUAUGAAAAUGGAGGAGAGAGAAAGAGGAGGGUUCCAAGAAAUAUAUCACAUUUUAGAAUACCUGUGCCUAUACGUACAACACAUUCUGAAUACCGAAGAAACAAAAGGCAAAAAGAGAGAAUGCUGAAUGCAUGUAUCGAUUUUAAGAAGAAAUCUUCAGUUUAAUUCUUUGCUUGGAGGGAAGCAAGAUCCAGGAGGCUGAUUUGCAGAAACAAGGAUAUGAGAAAUAUAUAACUUGCUGUCUCAAAAACUAUUUCUAGUUUUAUUUGUAAGAAGCAAGUUAGUAAAUAAAGAAAAAAAAUAUGUAGGGUUCUGUAAGUCUGCAUCUGCGAAGCCAUGUUAACAAGCUUCUGCAUAUUCUUUGCCUGUGACAUGACUACGUUUCUUUCGGUAUGGAACCCGUGAAUCUAAAUCAAUGGGUCAGGCCAGCGUAAGAAAAAGCACUUAAGCGCUGUAAAAGAUCUCUUUCUGAAGAGCUGUUGAGUCCAAACUCUACAAAAAAAGUUCUAAAAGAAUGCAAAAACAAUUCCUAUAUCAUCUUCUCUAUCAAAACAUGAAAUAAUUGCUACAGAUGAUCCUUUGAUCUAAUAUGUAGCAGUCAGCCUAUGGUGUUGUGUCUCUUGCUCUUCCGAGGGCCAAGGGGACUUUUCCCUGCAGUUCUCUCUGUACUUAAAGGAGAUGGAAGCAAGGGCCGGGGACUUCUUCCAGGUCUUCUUGGUGACAAGUUGGCUUGCUCUAAAACUCGGAACUGAAGCUCCGAAGGAUAGUCCCUCAUGCAACCAAUCCGCGGACCAGCUCCUGUUGUCCACCUACUGGUUAAUUGCUGAGCCAACUGAUAUGACUUCAUUCCUUUAUGUGAAUCAAUCCUUUGCAUGAUUUUCUCUUUUGGCACUGGCUUUUCGUCUUCUUCAAAUUCAUCGUCUUCAAACAAGUUUAGUUUAGGGAUCAUGAAAUCUUCCUCUGUUAAGAGUGAUUCUUCAGCUGUCUCAUAACCAUCGUCGGAAGCAGAAUCUGGAAAAUAUUCGCGACAAGUUAUUGGUAUUCCCUCCUUGAGAAUGUCAAACGCAUCAUUUCUUUGUGGUAUUUCAAGUUUGGCUAUCUUUGAGCAGAAUCUUUCAGGCAAUCUUAACAGAAUAGGAUUAGCAUUUUCUACAGGGUUAGAGUCCUCAUUGCUUGGAUCAGUGCUAUCUUGCCCUGAGCCUUCAGCAUUAGUUGUUCCAGUAUCUUUAGAUGGAUUUGGUUUUUUGGGACUGUUUCGAAUUCCAAUGUUGCUGCUCUUUUUGCUGAGGCCUCCUUCUUCAUCAUCAGCUGCACUUCUCUGAAAAUUGAAAGAAAGGUACAUUAUUACUAGGUCAAUUGUACAUUACUAUUUCUUUAAUGGAAACAGUAUCUACUAUGAAUCAUGGGAACAUUAUGUUUCAUAUAGUAUAGGGAAGAGUUUUUGCUAGCUACAAGGGUGCAUUUGUGUCUGAGGAUCUCAUCUCAGAGCAUUAAUUUAUGGAAAAACCCCGAUACGUGGGAAAUAUAGAUUUCGAUCAGCUCUGUCCAGUUAAUAAUAUCCUAUCAUGUCAUAUGCUGCUACACAAAACAUCAUCUGCUGAGACAGUAGAAGAUGGUAACUUCUUGAGUUAAAAUAAUCGAAUUUUUCCCGACGUACCUUAACAUUUGUGAGAUCUACGUUGUGAUCAAUAAGGAACAACAUGAAUUCCUGAAAAUUUUCCUCUGUUGGGAGAUAAUGGCCACUAUGAGGCCAAACUGACUGUUAAACCAAAAGAGAAAAAAAGAGUGUUAGUAACUAUUAUAUUAAAGCCUAAUCUCAAAGAUAGACACAGGAUUCAAUCUACUAGGUAUACGAAAAUCGUUGAGAGAUUACUCUUUCCUACCUUAAGAAUUCCCUGUUCCACCACUAAUCUUCCAGCAGAGAGUGUGGCUCCACCUGCCAAGAAGCUUGAAUGUUGAAAUGUACCUUUGCUCUUCUGUCCAAUAUACAAGGUCUUGGAUGUGCUAAGCACAAAUAUCCACUUAGCAUCUCUGACUUCUGUUGUAUCAAGAAGAUUUCCACUCUGCUUGUAAAUGAACUUCCCAUCUUGCAUUACAACUUCAUAAGCCUCUCUUUCUAUCUGCAGAAAUGAAGCAACAGUUAUCGGUAGGUGCACCGGUUUUGUUUGAUCUAAAAUGUCUUGGGAAUUUGUUUCAUUCUUAAGGUUUAUGGUCAGAAGAUUGAAAUGCCAUGGUGAGAAGAGAUUCAAACUCCUUCACGAAAACAUAAAGAAAUGAGAAAUCAUAACGGAAGAUGAGACUCACAGGGCCAAGAUACUUGAUGCAUUGUGUUUGAAGCUUUGGCCGAGGACAUACUUCAUGGUUGACUUCUCUUCCAUCUCCUAUGUCAAGCCUGCAUUUUUAAGAGAAAAAAAAAAGAUUAUUAAAUAGGUGCUAAAACAUUCUUGGCUGUGAUCAAGGAGCAUUUCUAAUUGCUUUGCAUGAUGUCCCAGAUUAAACUUACCAAUAGAAGAAGGGCUGUGUACUCUCACAAUGGAGCCAUUUCGCAUAAUAAAAGUGAAGAUUAUGGCCAUAACGAUGUCGAGGAUCAAUCUGUUAAUAGGAAGGAACAAGAGUAAGAAUCCAUGAAGGAAAUUUUGUACAUUGAUUCUAAGGUAUGUUGCACUAUAAGGUAUAGAACUUACUGCCUCAAGCCAAUGCUGCAAAGCAAGUUUACGGGCCCUUUUGUCCUUAGACAAACCUUUUCCCACCUUCAAAAGAGAUGAUGCAGCAGCAGUUAGAGCCAUAAUAUAGCAGUACAGAAGUGCACAUCACGUAGUGUAAUACUAACUAACCUUGGCAGCUCUGGUUCUUGCCCUAGACCAGCGAGAAACAGCUGUCUCGGGUUUCUGAAUGUCAAAAAAUGAUAUUGAGCUCCGUUUGAGCUCAGCAAAAUCUAGUGCCCUCCACCUACAAAUUGAGUUCACCAAAAUAUAAGUCUAACUUCAGAAGGAUACAAAUAGGGAUAUGUGGACAGGACUAGUAGGCAUAAAACUUUUCCAUUUCCUUUCAUGCGUGACACCGAAAGCUCUUCAAAUUGAAAGAAGACAUGAAAGCAUACCAUCUUUGCUCAACAAGAAUUGCACAAUCUGCUAACUGUCUUCUCGUGCGGAAACUUUUAUAAACUUUCUGCAACUUCAAUGCAGCCUGGUAUCUGUGUUUUCCUGGCUCCUGGGUCUGGUUUUCUGUUGUCAGCAAAGGGUCUCCAGCAUCGCUUUCUGCUCUGGUAGACGCAAUGUUUUCCAUAUCUGCCGAACAUGUCUUCGUUAAGGGCUUGGUGUUUAACUCCAUCCCUUUAAAGCUAAGUGAUCCUUCAAUAUUCAUCUUUCCUGAACCAUUUGUGGUGGUUGGUUCAGAAUCAGGGCCGUUGGAGCUUAAUGACCGCAAGGGCUUCCUCUCUUCUUCUUUCCUAAGACUAACUGGACUUACAAGAACAGCUCCACAAUGACUAUCCAAAUCAUCAAAAUCAGAAAGUGGGCAGGAAACUGGAAACCCCAUUGACCAACAAGGGAUAUCUGUAAGAUUAUACUACUACUAACCAAGAUCUGAAUCGACGAGAUGAUCGAGAUCUAUUGGGUCUCUUUACCUGUAAAAAACUGAACAGAAUGUACAGAAUUAAACAUAAAAAGUUCAUCAAACUUGACAUCCAUGAAGGGCAAUAUAAUCAAACUUGGUACCAACAAACAUUGUUUCAACAUUCAUGAAUGGAGGUCUACCAUUGGAUAUAUAGGCACACAUCCAUUUCCUCCUCUUUCCUGUUUUUCUACUAGAAUCUAAAGCAUGGUUCCUCAAAAGCCAUUUUACAAUCCCAUGCAAAUUGCAGAGGAGGGUUUAUAUCCAACACUCUAAAUUGGGUGAUACAAAAUUUUGCAACUUGUAAAUUUGAAAAUAUUAAAAGUCUCAAAUGCAUUAAAUGCAAAUACUAACACACACACACAUCACCAAUUGCAACAUUCAACCAACAAAUUAAGUGAAUGACUCACAAGAAAGCCUUUUGAUACGUUUAUGAAUGAGGGGUGCACAAUGAGUCUUACCUUAAUCAGAGACAGAAUGGAAGCAGAGAUGGAGACUGGUUUAAGACAAGGCUGAGGAAAGAGAGAACCAAAGAAGGGUAGAGAGAGAAAGAUGGAGAGGAAGUAAAGAAAUGGACGAAUGAUGGGAGAGAGAGCGGAGAAUGUGGGAAGUUGAAGGGGUUUUAUUUUGUAGAGGUUUCAAAGGUUACAGAGUGGCUUUCAUGGGCUUGCUUCUCUCCUUCCACAGAGAGCUCUACUUUUUUUUCUCUGUCUCUGGCUUACAGAGCACCUACGUUGGCUUCAUGCUAUUCUUGCAACAUUUAUAUAUAGAAGUUAGAGAGAGAAUUCUAGAGAGAGAAUUUCUAUAUAGAGAGAAGAGGGGGGAAGAAAAAGAGUAACAGUUGGAUCAUAGUCUCCCCACACGUGUUAUUGACCACAAGAGAAAGUUCACCAACUUAUAAUAUAUAUUUUUCUUAAUGAAUCUCUAUUUUGAUCUUUUUAAUUCAUGUGAAUAUUGUAUUUAUGUCUAAAAUUACGUGAUUUUAAAUUUUUCUAUAAUUGGUUUAAUCAUAUUUGGUUUGAAGGAAAAUAAGCUUCAUUUUCUUUAAGUAAAAACGAAAAGGUGCAUGACAAGUUUUAUAAGAUACUAGUUUAAAUACCCCUUUUUUUUGGUUAAGUUUGAAUUUUUUUGUUAUUAGGACUAAAUUCUAUUAUGAUAUGAAUGAUCAUUACCAAAAACCUAUAAUGCAAGUUUAAUUUAUAGUUAAUGUAAUAAAUUGCUUGUGAUUUUAGGAGGAAUAUAUGCAUUUUCAAGCAAGCAAGUGAUUUGAUGUGUAAAGUUCUCAUGAUGACGAACACACUGUCGUUUGAAGGUUUAAUUGAUAAUUUAAUUACUUUUCUAAUUGCUUUUUUUUUUUGGUUGUUUCUUCAUCUAACUAAUCCAUGUUAGUUUAUCCCCUUUUUAAUUUUUAACUUGACAUUAGCCAUCCAAACCUUUUUCCAAUCUUUUCUUUUUCUCUUCUUUUUUUUUGGGUCAAGGAAUCUUUUCUUGUUCUCUUGUCACAAAAUUUGGGUGGGAAUGGGAUGGUUUCUAAAAACCCUAUUUAGUAUUGUAUGGCCACAGAUGCAUGGAAACUUCUUUGGUUAGAAAACAAUACAUUUCUCCUACCCAAUAUUCUCUUAAAUGAGUGUUAUUUGCAUCAUGCGAAAAAACUUAUGAAAAGUAUAGGGUUUCCCCUUUUUAUGGAAAAAUGUUAUGUUUUCAAAUGGUCGAAAAUGUCAUAUAUAUAAAAGACCACACAUUCAUACAUGAUUUUAGUUACAUUAACUAAUUAUAUUGAUUAAAUUAGCAAAAGAAGAUAUUCUUUCUUUUUACUAGAAUGAUAUUUUAAACUAUUUUUGACGUACGAAAAGGGAAGUUUAAACUCAGAUAUAAUUGGGUGAAUAUAUUGCCUUGAUCAAGUAAUCUAACCCGCAACAUUUGAAAAAGAAGAAAAAUCCACAUUCAACCCCCCCCACCCCCCCAGAUACUUGAAAGCAAUUAAUUUCCCACCAAAAAAUUAAGUUACAACAAAUACAUGUUUACCCUUUUGCCGGCCACCUUCUUAAAUGCAAGUGGGUCACCGCCACGGUAUAAUUGUAAGUACGGUCCUUGAAAGUAUUAUUAUUUUCCCUUCUCUUUUGCCGUACCACUUUUUUGUCCUUUUCUUCUUCUUCUUCUCAAAUUAGGUUUAUUGCAUCUACGUGCUCAAAUGUCAUGUUCAUAUUGUGCAAAAGAAUUUUAACACUUACAUUCGAUCAUUAAUUUAUAUAUGAGCAUGUUGUAUUAUCUAUGAGCAAAUUAAAUAAAUAAUAUCUUAUGUUUGAAUAUACAAAUUCAAAAGAUGAAUUUAUUUGCAAAAAUAAUUUUUUAAAACAACAUUUCAUAACGAUAGCGUGUUAAAUAUGUUUCGAGAACGAAAAUUGACCUCUCAUUGAAAAAAAAAAAACAUGUAAUUAUCGUAUUAAUACUUGUGAACUCAACACGACAAAUUUUGGACGAUGUGAAUUACAUCGUAUAUGAUUUUAUCAGGUCUAGUAAUUUUUGAGUGAUGUAAUAUUUGGACGAUGUGUUCACGAGUUGUGACAAGAAGUAGACUUCAUUGUGAUUCAAGAACGAGUACAGCUCAUGUACUGUCACAGUACGGCCUGUUAGAGUGGGAUUUGUUUGGAUUAGAUUCUAUGAGCAGCUGGAGAAUAUGGAGCUUUCCGCAAAAGUGCUUUUAAUUCUGACUCAUUCUAAUUACAGAGUCCGACAUGUAUUUUUUUGGGUCCAAGUCCAACGCGUUUGUUUUGUUUUUGUAAAGCACCGACACACUCACAACUCAACAGUCAAAUCACUCGCUCCUAUUUUAUUUAUAGUAGUUGAUGACCAGAUGAAAGAGAAGAAGAAAAAGGACUUUUGGAAAGUUUCAAAGGCAUGGGAGAUUUUGGACUUCGGAGAUUACUGGCUUAGGUAAAUUAGGUGUUUGGCGUGUGAGAAAAUUGAAAGAGAAAACUUGUACAUUGGUCAACUAGUCAGCAUCUGAGUGCAUCAUCAUACAUAUAUGAAGCUACGAUAAAAUCUCACAUGUUAUAAAGUAAGAAGUGAAGUUCACAUGAAUAAAGUAAGAGGAUAUUAGUUAAAAGAUGAAAUUAUGAUGUCGGGAGAAAAUGUUGAAGAUGCAUUCAUGGGAGGCCAUUCUAAUUGCCUAUAAAUAAGCUUCCUUUUAAGUUGUAAAAUACACAACCAAUUAGAAGAGAAGAGAGUCAGAGUCAGAGAAGAAAAGAGAGAAUAAGUUCUAUCUGAUAAGAAAUUCUGUUAGUGUAAACACCAUAAAGAGCAAAUAUAAUUUCACUCCCAAUAUGCUCCCAGUAUUUAGUGGUACUUCUCAUACUCUUUGAUUAUUCUAGUUCUAUAACAUCACAUGACUUUUCAAAAUUAUAAUAAUUGUUUUGUUACUUUGUGUACAAUGUCAUGUUAAAACGGAGGCUUUCUAAAGCAGAGAUGUCCUUAUUCUCCUUGAAAGAUGACCUAAAUAUAGAUGAUUUCGAUUGUUGAAAUAUAUUAUAGGCAACCCUAGAAAUGAUGUGUGCACUUUUCUUAUAAGGGCUUAACGUAGAAAAACUUCAUGUGUCCAACUAUUAUAUAUCAAGGUCAGGCUUUAAAAGAAUCGGCCAGUAUCAUAUUACAUAUCUACCACGUUGCUUACAUAGGAUAAGAAUUUGAUGCAAGAAAAACAUGUUACAUAUGGAUUCAUAUAACAUAUGCUAGUUCCUUAUGCCAAUAUUUACAGGCUGACAAGAUAUGAACUCUCUCUCUCUCUCUCUCUCUCUCUCUCAUCCAAGAUUCAGCAAAUACUGAGGGAGUUGCUAGAUGAAAGGAAAAAUGAUAUACUCAGCAUAGAAGAGAUUCCAUAUAAAUCUGUAGUAGCCGGCAAUUGCUUCCUGCAGAACGCAUUCAAACUUAUGAUCAGAUGAUGAAUCAAAUACUCUCUGUCAUUUUAUUGGAAUCUGAAUAGAUCAUCUCGAAGUAGUAGUGCCGAAUUGUCCUAUUCCAAACUGUACUGCUUGAUCAUUAGACCAGUAAAAUGCUAUUUACACAAAAUGGAAUUUUAUACCUUGGUGUAAUUUGCUUGCUCGAGCACCCAAGUCUGAAAGUACAUGAGAACAAAAUUUACAUAAGAGUUCAACAAUAAAGCACAAAUUUUCAUCAAGUGUUGUUUGUUCGUGUGUGCGAAAGAGCUCUAACAUAAACCAUUCACAUCCAAUUAAAUGCAGAUUAGAAAGCACGAAGCAGAACACGUUGCCAUUGUCACUUUAUUCUCCCAAGUCCUCACCACACACGCACACACACAAAAUAUACCAGAAUUCCUAAUACUGAAAAGAAUCAGCAUCAUAAAUGCCUAACUGAAAAAAUCAUUCAGUGAGAAGAAACUACAGAGAGGUGGGAUGCCAUUUUCGACAGUAAAUUUGUCUGAUAUCAUAAGCAUUUUAUUUACAUCCCCCCUCUCUUUUCUGUCAAUACUCUUGGAGCAUUGACAGAAAAGAGAGGGGGGAUGUAAAUAAAAAGACAUUCAUAAAAACAAGGAACAAACAAAAAAAGAAAAAGAAAAAGAAGCCGUUUAGAAUGGAUAUAGUGGUGAUGAGGUCAGAACAGCAAGAUACAAACCUGGAAAAUUAAACUCAGAGCCAAAAUUGUAUGGGUCGGUAUCAUUAAGCUACGCCUGAAUGCCUGUACACAAGCAACAUAAAGGCUUUAAUUUUUUGAGUCGACGGAAAACACGAAGAAUUUCACAAACACAAUAAAUCAAAGCCAUUAGCUUUUGUCCAAAAGCAUGAACCACGCAAGCAUCUAGAGAUACACUUCAAAGUUCAAAGGGAUACAUGCUCACCUGAGGCAUGAAACUUGCUGCGAAUAUAGAACCAACAUAGUUUAGCAGCAAAAGCCCAGAACCCAGGAAUGCAAUCUUUCUAACUCCAAGUUUUGUUGCAAAUGUUGAUAUCUGAAACCUGUAAGCAUAUAUUUGAAAUAAAUAUUGGUGGGCAACUGGAAUGUUAGGCUUUAAACAAAAACAAUGGUGCAUUCUGAUCUGAAAAUGUAGAGAAAAGAGUACCAAUAUUGGUUAAGCAUAAUCUAAGACAUUGACAAUUACAGUGAGUUACAUGGCAAAACGAUACCCACUCUGUGUCUAUGCAAGUAUGGGGUAGAGGGUGCGGAAAGUAUUAUAUGGGGUAAGAAUCAAAUGAGGAAUCAGCUGCCAGAAAGUAACUAGGCCCUGCAACUUACUUGCGGUCUCCCUCUACAUCAGGAAGAUCUUUUGUUAUGGCAAUAACCAAUGCAAAUAAUGUUACAAAGGUAGUGAUAAAAGCCACGGGCGAGCUGCAGGUAGAAUUUGAAUUUCAGCAUCAGUCUCUUUAAAAUUUUAAAUUAUGAACAUUACACAGCUAAAAUAUCAGAAGGAUAUAGUGACAUUCACAAGAGAAAGUUGGACAAUUAGAUCAAUCAAUACAGAUUUGUUUGCAUAAUAAAAUUGAAAAUUGAAAAUUAGUAAUGCUCAUGUGUUGGAUUUAGAAAAGGUCCCUUUUUGUUAACUUUCAAAAUCCAUAUUGGUGUGUAAACUACAGCAGUUCCUUAUCAAUCCUGUAUUAGUCCAUCCAAUUGUAUAGUCAUACCAGUUAAAAUACAACAAAUGGUAACACACCUCCACUCAAAUUGAAGCCCAAGGGCAGCUCUAGUGGCAUAAUAUACACCAAAAUUAAGAAGGAAACCCCGUACCUGCAGUAGUUAUUGGAGAAAAAUAAGGCAAAAUAAUUUUUAAAAUAUAUUUGUGAAUCAACAUAAUAGUCAUUGAACAGAUCCUAUCCUCUUCAUAAUAUAUUUACUUUCCAGGCUCCUUGCUCAAAAGUUGUUUGAAUUCAUGCCCAGAAAUUUUUAGACAACUAUAUUAGAUCAGUAGAACUACACUAUUGCAGCGAUUCAACUAUAAAGAGUGUUAUGCUACAAUAGCAUUUGGUGCUUCAGCCAUUAGGGUAAUAUUCAUAUUUGGAAAUUUUUGUUUUUUGUUUUUUGUUUCACAUUGCUUCUAAAAUAAACUACUCGCUUUCCUGUGACUCACAGGUCUGCUUCCGCCAACACUUUUCUACUCUCUUUUUUUCAUGGGUGUAAUUUGUGGAUGUUUAACUUUAUUUCUCUAGAACUUUCAGGCUUUUUUUACCAGAACUUGCUUAGAUUGUGAUGAUUAUAAAUGUAUUAACUAUUAUCUACUUUACUUUUUAUUUGGACAUUUUAAGGCAGGCGCAUGAAUUUCAAAUCCCAUGUACAAAAAAUAUCAAGCAAUUUGAGUAGUUACUGAUUUUAGAAUGGAGAAAAAAAAAAUUACAAAAAAUGAGCGCAUAUUUCUAUUGUGAGAAUUGGAUAACAGGAGAAAAAAGUGAUACCGUAGCAAUUAUAAGAAAUGCUGCAACAGGAAAUCUCUUCAUUCUAAACGGAGGAACAGAAUAUAUGGUACCAAGGAAAAGACCAAGACUGUAUAGAGAAGUAAUGAAUGGCCCAAAGUUCAUUCCGACAAUCAACAGGCCAGUCACUACAAAAAAUACCACCAGAAGCCAUGCUGAUUUAACUGAAAGGUCCCCUGCAGCAAUAGGUAAAUAAGGUUUGUUUACCCUGCAAACACAACAGAGAGAUGCAGAAUAAGUUCAAAGAAACUAAUAUGCAAUAAUGUCCUUGGACAGUCUGUCACACAAUGGAAACAAAGAAAAAACAGAAAAGAUGAUUUACCAAAGGUCAAGAUCGUCUGGCUCUAUAUUUUUCCUUUUAUCAAUGACUAAGGAACAGGUUCUAUCAAGAGUCUCUAGAUCAGAUGAUUGAUAUUAAUCAACUAUGUUAAGGCAUCAAUUACAUUCUGACAAGGGCCAACUUGUGAUGGAUCUUAAACAACAAAAAAUGCGUACAAACCCUAUUGUGGUUGUUGGAAACCAAUAUUUUGAGUUUAAGACUGUUGCGCAAAUCCUUGUCUAAUAGUAUGCUCAAGAAACAGAAAUUCGUAAAAAUAUACGCCCAUCGUACUUGUCAAUUUUGAUAUCGUAAAUCUGGUUGAUGCCAACUAUGUAACCAUUCCCACAUAGUAGAGCAAAAAGACCAGAGAAUGCCUUAAACAGCAGAGACCACUUUAUCAAAUUGGAGUUCUCAAUCAACGCUCUAGUCACCAAAGCACUGUGGACAAAACAACAAAGAAAUUUGGUCAACUACACCUGGCCUGAGUUGGAAAUGAAACCAGUUUACUAAUACAAAUCAAUGUUCUGUGUGGUAAUUACUUACGUAGAACCCAGAACUGUUCCACGUAUGGUAUGAGGCCUCAGGAAUCUCCAACAAGCAUCUUUAAAAUCUGAAAUUCUGGUCAAUACUGGAUCAGAUCCAGCAGCUUCAACUUGACUGCAGGCCUGGCAGCAUUCACUUUCACUUUAAUACCAUAAAAAGAAAGGGCUUGAGUCUCAUAGACUACAGUCUCCAAAAUCAAUAUGCAACCAUGUAUAUGGAACCGAAUCAAGUACUAACACAUGUAAAAUCAAAAUCAAAAUCAGUAACAAGGCAAAGGGAGUAUAAUCUAUAAACAGACACCAAAUUGCCUUUUUUUUUUCCUUUUCUAUUUGCAUGUUCCACAGUAAAGCAAAUAGGUACAACCAACUAUAUCAAGCUUCUAACUAGUUUUUUGCUGCUUUGACAUGUUCAAUAGUAGGAUUGCGUACUAUCAACCGCUUACCCUAUAUUAGUCCUUCAAACCUUGACAUAAUGUCGUAAUUGCAGCAUCACUUCAGAAUAAUAAUCAAGUAGAAACUUCCAGUUCCACAAGCUAACAAUAACAGCUAAAGGAAAAAAUUACAGAGACCAAAAUUCACUAAUUGGAGCAAAAUCAAACAUACCCAACUGGAAAAGAAAAAGGAAAAGAAAAAUAAAAACAAUCUUCUAACCAAAGUUUCAUAGUGGCAUUUCCUAAUGAACAGUGCUUAGAGAAGAACCCAAUUGGACCAACUAAAAGUUGAAUGUAAUUUAUAUCAUUGAGGAAGAAAUGCAGCAUACCCAGAUGGAAUUUCGCCUCUUCUGACAGUUGGGUAAGGACUUUGAGCUUCUGUAGAGCCCAAUUGAGUACAAGUUUUGUGUGCAUUUUGAGAGAGAAGCAAAGGGGGAUUUGGAAGUUGGCUUAACGAAAGUUGAAGGAAAAGAAGAGGAGGUCUUGCAAUGAGGGGUUAGAGCUGGAAACCGUGGAGAAGAUGAGGGAGCGAAUGAGAGCUCCAUGCUACGCUUACAACACAGACAGAGAGCGAGAAACAAGAGUCUGUCCGUGCCUCCGAGAAAGUAGAGAGGAUAUCACUUUGAAACUCAGACACACGAAAAGACGGAGGUAAAACGACAUGUCGUAGAUACUCCAAAAAGAAAAAGGAAAGCACGGAACCAAAAAAUAGGAAGUUAAACGAAAAAUGGAGAUGCGGGGUAUCGAACCCCGUACCUCUCGCAUGCAAAGCGAGCGCUCUACCAUGUGAGCUACAUCCCCAAGUUGCUAAUAAGUUUCAUAGUAUUCAAUUUACACAAUUUUCAAGGAAAUACAUUUGCUUACCUUUUUUUUUUUUCCUCCUAAUAAAUGGCAGAUUGUUUUUUUAUUUUUUAUUUUUAAUAGAGCAACAUUAGUACUUAGUUGGUCACUCAAGGAAAUGAUAGAGUUUUGAUGUCUUCUAUAUUGCAAAGACGGUCCUCACUCACCAACCAUUUUGCUCAAUAGUUUAAAAUUGAAGCGGCAUCCCUCUCAUUUUGUAGUACCCUUUUAACAAGAGAGGAAAUAGGAAAACCACACCCUCCUCCUUCCCGUUCAACACCCUUCACAUUACGACCCUCCGAAAGAGGGUACGGUGGUAAGACAACUGUGCCAUGGUAGCUUCCUCAAGGGGCAACAGCACUAGUAUUAACAUGGUAGGCAUUCCAAAAGAAAAAGGGUGUCACUGCCUAAAGUCCAUUUUAUUAUUUGUGGACAAGGAAAUCUUCAGGGUCGCCUUAGAGGAAACCAUAAUGCUAAAAUAACUCUAAAAAGCAACCGCAUGAAUGUCAAAGUAACAUUAAUCUAAAUAAAAUUCGAGUCAAGCACAACAUCCAACCACAUAAAACUUGAGGAUCAUCAACAUAAAAGGGCAGAGACAUCUCUCAUAUUCAAAGGGUAAAUCCGACAAUCACUAAAUAAUAAGUAAACAAACAAACGCAGACAAAAUUCUCCUUGUUGCCAACAUAGUUUUCUGCAGCCCCUCAACGGUUGGCCUUGGCAACUCUUUCAAUCUCAUCCUUCUUCUUGAUCGCAUAACUGCACACAAAAGAAACAAAGAAUCAAGGGAAGGAAAUUAAAUCAGACUACAUAACAAAAAUGGAAAUAAACUCGGACAUAAAAGAGCUUCGGCCGAGAAUAAUAAGUAAUAAGAAAAUAAGCGCUUAGAAAGCAAGCCAUCAAUCAGUACCUGUUAGAGGAACCUUUGGCAGCAUUAAUAAGUUCAUCAGCCAAACAUUCUGCAAUAGUUUUGAUGUUUCUAAAAGCAGACUCACGAGCACCAGUUGUGAGGAGAUAGAUAGCUUGAUUCACACGUCUCAAAGGUGAGAUAUCCACAGCCUGACGCCUAACAACUCCAGCAGAUCCAAUACGAGUUGCAUCUUCACGUGGACCACUGAUCAGCACAAAGCAGACAUACAAAAGAAAAAAAAAAUGUUUGAUCAAUUUAAGGAGAUAAAAAAAAUCAACAUAUAAUCGGGAGAAAUUAUACUAAAGGCCACUUGAGCUUCCCCUCCAAUAUAAAAAAAGGACUAAGCACAAGGCAAGUAUGUAAUUACUAUGAUAAAUAUAAUAACAAAUCUGCAUCCACUUACCUAUUAACAACAGCAUCAACAAUAACUUGAAUGGGGUUCUGAUCAGUCAGCAAAUGGAUAAUUUCCAUAGCAUGCCUAAUAAUCCUGACAGCCAUGAGUUUCUUUCCAUUGUUUCUGCCGUGCAUCAUGAGUGAGUUAGUAAGCCUCUCCACAAUAGGGCACUGAGCCUUCCUGAAUCGUUUGACUGAGUAUCUCCCAGCAGUGUGAGGCACAUAGGUUGCAUGCUUGGCAGGUACCACUCCAACAUAGUCUGCCAAUGAAAUGUCACUGACCUAUACGUUGCAAAUUACAUAUUACCAUUAGUAGAUGCAAUGAACAAAUUAAUACAACAAACUAAUCUAUAUGUUUGAAAAUGUCAAACGAUUAUUACCAAAUAAUUGAUAAUAAAAGAUUUAGUCAGCAUCUAAAAAAAACUAAAAACAAUUUGACACGUAAAUACCAAUUAAUCAAUAUACUUAAUAGACAGGAAAAGAUUUGACCCACAUAUGAAUUUAACUGAAGCAGACAUAAACUUUCAUUUUAUUGAUAUAAAUUGAAAAAAGGCGUUAAUAAAAUCAGCACAUUCAGGAGGAGCACCAAAUACAUGUGACCAAAACAAGUGCAAUAAACAAUAAUAAUAACAAUAAACUUUAGCCUACUAAGUUACACCUACAGUGAAUCUAAGAAACACAAGAUGUCCACACAAAGAGGCCACAGAGAUGUCUAAAUUACAAAAGCAAGUCCCAAUUACACAUCUUGAGGUUGAGCUACAUAUACAUUAUGAUACUUACAACCCAACAAGUAAAUGCAAGGACGCCUAUCCUUGGCUGCUAACCAACCAGCUAAACGUAUGUUUACCAAACUCAACCUUAGUUUGUCUAAUUCAUAACAGAUAUCGAAAGUAUAAUUAAAUCAAGUAAAGCAAAACAAACUCCAGAUACCUGAACAUCAUCAAAGCUCCAGCGGUUGAACAGCUUCACGUCAAAGUGAGGCUCCGUUGGUUCCACAACAGAAGCAACUACGACAGGAGCAGCUGCGACAGGAGCAUCUACGGCAGGAGCAGCCAUGGUUCUGUAUAAACACAAUUAAAGAAACAAAACCUGUUCACAUUUGUUAACAACAGCGGGGACUAGAAUCAGUGCUGCAAAUUAAUUUUUCAAUUACGAGAAUUCCAUAUCAAAGUGAAUCGAGUAAUGUAUAACUAAAAAAUGAGAUUAGGGAAAACAUUGAAUCAAGCUUUUUUUUCAAAAUAAAAAAUUAAUAUAAAAAAAAAAGGAAGAAGCAAAAGGGAAACCUCAAAAUUUUGUGAUUCUUAGUUUCAUAGCUCAAUUCACAAACCCAACAAAAAUUUCAAGCCAAAUUCUUGUUUCUUUUAAUACUUUUAGCUUUAUCUAGGUGCAGCAAAAUCAGUAUGUAAGAAGCAUAAAAAAUAAUAAUAAGCCAUCAAUAACAAAAUACAAACAACUGUAUGGCUCUCUUCCAUUCAAAACAAUAAACCCACCCCAAAACCCUAGCACAAUCUUAAUUACUCGAGGAAGUGGCAGAGAUGGGUGAGAGAGGUAACCACUGACCUGGAGGUCGGAGUUUCAGAAGCUUGGAGAAGAAAGAGAAAAUGGCGCCUGGAGUGGGUUAUGAAACGCUCAAUACAAGAGAACGGCGCAGGGCAGAGGGCGAAAGAGGGGAAAAAGUCUUUAAUCAGCUAGGGUUUGGUUUUUAGGUUACGUUUACUAUUUUACCCUUCCUCAUUUUGUUUUUAUUUUUGUUUUGUUAAAAAAUCAUAUCCUCUGUUUUUUACUUUAAUUUAUUUUUUCAAAUAUGAUCAUAGAAGCUGCCCGGCUAUGCUUUUUUUGACACGUGGGUCUCUUUUGUUUUGUAACUAAAUAGUAUAGUCGCGAGGCUAUAUUCUCAGGUAUUUUUCAAAAUCGUAGAGCCGGACUGCUAUACUCGGGUUUUUAUUUUUUUAAAAAUAGUAUAGCAGGGCGGCUUUACUGCAAUAAUUUUUAUAAAAAAUAUUAUAGCCGCGCGGCUAUACUUGUGCUGACAGGUGCACACCUAAUCUCUAAGCGGGUCCCUUUUUUUAAUAAAUAAUAUUGCCGUGCGGCUAUACUCAACUUUUUUAUAAAUUUUUUUUUAAAAUACUAUAGUGGGCCAGUUGUACUAUAGUUUUUUUAGAAAUAGUCGUCGGGCGGGCAUACUCUUUUUUUAAAAUUAAAAAAAAUGACGUAGAGGUUGUUGAGUUUUCAGAUUUUUUAUUUAUAUUUUGUUAUUUAUUUGUAAACCGAACUUAAUAACUUUUUUAUUAUUUUUUUAACGGUAGUUUGACGUAGUGGACAACAUUGACUAACGGAAUAAAACACAAGGGCUCAAUUUGCCAAAUUGAACACACGGGAACUAAAUUGGUCAAAUGAGUAUAACACAAUGACUAUUUUAAUGUUUAAGCCUUUUUUUUUUUAAUACUAUAGCCAGGCGGCUAUACUCUGGUUUUUAAUCUAUAAAAAAAGAGUAUAGCCACGGGGCUAUAAGUGUUUUCUAGGCAGGUCCUUUUUAAAAAAAAAUAGUAUAGCUGCGCGACUAUAAGUUUUUCGACAUCUGGGGCUGUUUUGUUUUAACUAAAUAGUAUAGCCGCGCGAGUGUACCACGAUAAUUUUUUUUAUUUUUAAAGAUAGUAUAGGCACGUGGCUAUACCAGUUUUGACACGUGGGUAACUAAUCCUAGGUGGGUCCACCUUUUUUCUAUAAUAGUAUACCCGCUUGGCUAUACUCUGGUUUUUGUAUUUUUUUAAAAAUUGAAACUAGCCAAAAUAUAAACUAAUGCAACUAAAAGGGUACUUUUUUAAAAAAUUUCUUUAAAGAAAACGUAUAGCCGCGCGGCUAUACCUUUAAAGAUAAUAUAUUUUAAUGCUACGGUAUUUGUUUUAUAAAAAAAGAAUAUCAUCGUGCGGCUAUACUGUUUUCGACAUGUGUGUCCCCCUUUUUUUUUUAAUAGUAAAUAGUAUAGCCGUGCGGCUAUACUCUCGGUUAUUUUUCAAAAUAGUACAGUCAGGCGGCGAUACUAAGGUUUUUUUAAUUUGCUUAAAAAUAGUAUGACAUAAAAGUUUAUUGUGUGGCCAACAGGGCAAUGUAAAAGGGUCUUGACUUGCAUACUCGAGAUCUCAUGUUCGAACGUAUGUGAGAAAUUCGCCUCCCCUGUAGUUUAAACUAUCGCUUUUACUAAAAAAAAAUAUUGUGUGAGAAUAAUUAUGGUUUUUAAACCAUUUUACGGUUUAGAUCAAUCGGUUUAUCUAGGCCAUGGCAAGUGUCGCAUUGAUAGAAGUUUUUUCUUUCUCGAAAAUUCUUAGAUGGAUUUGGGCAAUAAGUUGCUCAAUUGUUUUUUUUUUUUUUUUUGUUGCCAAAGUGGGGAGUGGGAAAAACUGACACACAUAAGGAUUUAAACGCAAGACCACUUAAGAGCACACCAAAGACAUGGGCCAAUCCAACUAACACCCCCAUUCGUCAGCUCACUUCAGACGAUAUGGGUUUCCUUAACUGUGAAUAUGAUCGUGAUACUUGUGAGUUUCACAUUGUGCAAGGAAAAUUUUGUGCACUUUCAUAAGGUAAAAUGUCAAUUGGAGGAGAGCAAAAGGAGCAACACGAAUUUUAGAAAUAUUUGUAGCUACUGUUCUUCCAUUCAUAUUUUUUCUAAUUCUCGAUAUUGUCUUGGUCACAUCCUUGAAAUUAAACAAAAAAUAUGAGAAAAACAAACAUCGGCCAUUUUUCAUGAAACAAAACAGAACUAGCUAAAAAUCUUGAAAAAUAGGAACUCGCACAUUGAGAUCAUUUGGAGCUUCCUUUGAACAGCAAAUGACAAGAUACUCGUAGGUUUCGGCAGCCCCUCAACGGUUGGCCUUGGCAACUCUUUCAAUCUCAUCCUUCUUCUUUAUAGCGUAACUGAGCACAAACAGAACAACCAAUAGUCAGAAAAGUAUCAAGUUGAAGAAAACGAAAUUAGACUAAACUAAACAUAACAAAACAGAAAUAAACAAUGAGAUAGAUGAGCUUUCAGAGAAAAUAAACAUAAAGAAAGCAAUGUAUCAGUACCUAUUAGAUGAACCUUUUGCAGCAUUAAUCAGUUCGUCGGCCAAACAUUCUGCAAUAGUUUUGAUGUUUCUAAAAGCAGAUUCACGAGCACCAGUUGUAAGGAGAUAGAUAGCCUGAUUCACGCGUCUCAAAGGUGAAAUAUCCACAGCCUGACGCCUAACAACUCCAGCAGAUCCAAUACGAGUUGCAUCUUCUCGUGGACCACUGAUGGUCACAAAGAAGACAUACAAUUGGAAUCAGUAUUUCCAUAAGGGUCACCAUCCAAUGUGGUUAGAGUACCCAGAAGACUUCCAAAGUCAGAAAGUAAUCAGGAUCAAUUUUAUUAAAAGACCACUUGAGGUUCCCCUCCAGCAUCAAUACCUUCUACAGACCCUAAGCACAGGGCAAGUAUGCAAUUACUAUGAGGAAUAUAAUAACAAAUUUGCAUCCACUUACCUAUUAACAACAGCGUCAACAAUAAUUUGAAUGGGAUUCUGAUCAGUCAGCAAAUGGAUAAUUUCCAUUGCAUGCCUAAUGAUCCUUACAGCCAUAAGUUUCUUCCCAUUGUUCCUGCCAUGCAUCAUGAGUGAGUUUGUAAGCCUCUCCACUAUAGGGCACUGGGCUUUCCUGAAUCGUUUGACUGAGUACCUCCCGGCAGUGUGAGGUACAUAAGUUGCAUGCUUGGCUGGGACAACUCCAACAUAGUCCGCCAGUGAAAUGUCACUGACCUAUAUGUUACAAAUAACAUGAUUAUCAUUUUAAAUAUACAAGGGAAAUAGAUUUCAGUAUUUGUCUAACACAUGAAAAUUAUCUAAACGUCCAUAAAACUUUACCAAAAUAAAUUAUUUUUAAAAAACACGAAAAAACUUAAAAUCAGUGUAAAGAUGAAGCCAAGGGCACCAAACAAUAAGAAAAUCAACUGUUAGCAUUAGCCUACUAAGUUACACCUACUGUGAAUCAAAUCAACACAAGGACACACAGGAUGCACUUAUUACAAAUCUAAAACCUAACAAAAGCCAGUCCCAAUUACCGACAUUUAGCAACACAUACGCUAUGUUUUCUUCCGACUACCCAACAGGGGAAACAUGCAUCUAGACACAGUAUUUAAGAGCUCAAAGUACAGCUACAUUAAACCUGAACAUCAUCGAAGCUCCAGCGGUUGAACAGCUUCACGUCAAGGUGAGGCUCAAUUGGUACCGUUUGUACCGUUGGUGCCGUUGGUGCCGUUGGUUCCACUGCAACAGACAUGGCUCUGCAUAACGCAAUCGAAGAUCUAAGGUUAAGAGUGUUAAAUUGAAAAAGAGGUUGGUUGUGAUUUUAAAUUCUUUGUUCAAUUAAAAUACUCACUGAAAAUUCAAGUAUAAAAUGUGAAAGGAAUUUCAUUGUAAGUAACAACGACGAAUGAUAAAGCUUACCUCUUCGUCGGAGGUUGGACCUUCAGACGAGAAUGCGAGAGAGCUUGUACAGAGUGGUGCUGAACACAGGAAAACCCUAGUUCAUGUUUAUAAGCACGACUGACCUGAAAAUUACCUUAAGGUCCUUUAAGGGUAGUAGGGUCUUUUCGUUUUUAUUUUAUUUUUAUAGAUUACAAUGUUUGAGAUUCAUCAAACUUCAAAUUAAUCUCUCUCUGGUUUUUAUUGCUAGAUUAAGCCUUGUGCAUUGCCGUCUCUUCAAUCUCAAUAUGAAUGGAUUAGUCAAGCCAUUUUUGCCUUACUUGUUGGCUAUAUAUGCACAAGCUGGAUGGUAAGCAUGUAAGGCUCGCAGAUUAUUUUCAUGUGGAGGGACGAGCACAUGUGGCUUUUAAAAUUUCGACCUCUUGUUUGUUCAUAUAAUUGCUUUUCACUUGCUUCUGAGUCAUGACUUCCGCCAUAUCCUUGAACCAUAAGAUGUUUUUCCUCUUUCAAAAAAUAUUAAAGCCUAAAGCUAUCAUGAUUUUCACUUCUAGCAUCCAGCAGAUAAAGUCGGGAAUAUAGGAGCAUCUACAUGAUUUCUCAACGAUUUAUUAAAAAUUUCAACUUUGAAGCAGCAGCAAACUAUUGAGACAAAUUUGAUACUCAAUACCUCAGAGCUCAGGGUAGAAGGAAAUCAAAGAUUUGACACAGAAACCAGGAAUAUUUGUUACUUGUUCAAACAAAACCUAGGGCUUUUUUCCGACAUAGAAGUUUAGCAAGAUUCGAUAAAGAACUCACAUCAGAACAAUCAAGUCUACGUUGCUAGUAAAUACCAAGACACAUAAACUAAAAAAAAUACGAACAGAGAUUGGCAACACAACUGCCAUUCAUCAACAUAAACAACAGUUGCUUGCAAGUAACCAAAACUUCGAAGUUCAAGCAUCAACAAACAAGAGCCAUCUCUGAUCAACGCAACCUUCUAGCUUCCCUCUCAGACUCGAGCAAGGUAAGGAUAUCCCCCUCCCUCACUGGUCCCUUGACGUUCCUCAUGAUGAACCGGUUCUGGUCAUCCAGAAACUUGACUCUAACUUGAGUCACCUGCCCACGAGAUCCAGUCCGGCCCAUAACUUUCACCACAACAGCAUGCUUCACAGUGGAGUCCAUUCUACACGCAAAUACAAAAGGAAAAUUAGCAAGAGAACACUCUUGUAGCAGUCGGUCGCCACCAGGAAAGCAACAAAGUCAAGAGGCCAGACUAUUAUAUUCAGCAUUACGAUAGGAAAUAGAACACGAGCUACAAACUACAAAAACCGAGCAAAGAACUAAAUGGGGUAUCAUAAUUUCAUCUUAUUUUCCGAUAACUGAAUCCUCGAAAAAUAUCAGAAUUAUACAGCAGCACCAAAAAUUGUCCUACAAAACACACUUCAAUUCCAUAGCACACUAGUAAAUCAAACCGAAACACCAAACAAAAGCCAACUACAAGCUAAUUACAAUUUUCAAUGUACAUGAACACAAACAGAACAUAAGUCAUAAGUUAUUUUUUCCCCAUAAUCCACUUUGAUUGAUGGCAUAAGGAAAGCUGCAAUCAACCAGAUCUAAUUCCCUAAACAAAUAAUGAGCAUAAAUCUUGAUUUAUACAGUCACGAAAGUUUGAUAUAAUUCCCUAAUUCCAUGAACACUUUUCUCAUCUUAUUUUAAAGAUCUAAAAACAACAUAAUAACAGUCAUAAUCUGAAUUUAUGAGUAUUGGGUUGAGUAAAUAAUCCAGCCAAAAACGCAAACAGCGAUUGAAAGUUUCAGAGAAUAAAUCGCUCAAUAAAGUAAAUAAAAAUGCAAACAGAGAUUGGAAAUAACAAUACUGAAGAUUACGCAUUUACAGAAGAGUGAGAAAUUCACCUUUGGUAGAGAGAGAGUCUUCAAAGGAAAAGUGACGAGAAGGAGUGCGCGGCUGCGUCAAGGAGAGAAAAAAAAUGCGUGCGUCUGCGUUUAGGGCACUAGGGUUAUCAAAGGUUUUUCUUUUAUAGUGAUUUUUUUUUCCUUUAAAAAUGUAAUAUUUUAUUUAUUUAUGGAUUGCUUAUUCAAAGCCCAAAUACGACGUCGUUUAUCAUUUCCACUGCAUCAUCUUCUCGUCUCUCUCUCGCUCUUGCUCUAGCCCUGCCUCGGUCCAGCAUUAAACCCAUCUCUCUCUCUCUCUCAAUGAAGCAUUCUCGCUUCAGUUCGCUGUUCAAUUUGUAUUCUCGUUUCGGUUUCCGAAACGUACCGGGCGUUUCGCUGUACUCGACGGCUACAGAUCCCACAUAUCAUCAUAGAAAGUGCUGGAAUGGUGCCCUGAACAACCUCUACGGUCGGAUUUCUCGAGUCGGAGAUCGCAAUGCAUGCAUUUUGCCGAUUCUCGACGAAUGGAUUGAAGAAGGCGGAAACGCAGAGAAAGAUGACCUCGUCACCAUAAUCAAGGAGCUCAGGCAAUUCAAGUACUAUAAGCACGCUCUUGAGGUAGGUACUAAUUUCUGUUUGGUUGCUCAGAAAGUGUGGAAAUGGAAUUCAUUUAGGGUCUUUAUUUGGUUUUGUAUCUUUAAUUUAUCAAAUAUUAUGUUCAACUCGGUAAAAUUGAAUUGUGAAUGGAUUGAAAUUCAAAUUAUGCUAUAGAGUAGCUUAAUUCUGUUAGCUUAACUGCUAAAUGGGAGUGCUUUCAUUGUAAUUUGGAGGAUUUAGACUGCUAAUGGUGAGAGCAAUGCUAUAUAGACUUCAAAAUAAGUCAGCCCAAGUAGCAAAGUUUUCAUCUUUUUCAUCUUCUUCAUAUUUGGAUUUCUGAAGAGAGAUUGUAUGGUAUGUUGGCAACCCCAGAUUCUGAAAAUUGUUUUUGGUUUAUUGAUUCGCAGGUAUCUAUGUGGAUGACUGACAAAAGGUACUUCAGCCUUAUGAAGGCUGAUGUUGCCAUCCGGCUGGACUUGAUUUCAAAAGUUCAUGGAAUUGAACAAGCUGAGAAUUAUUUUGAAAACAUUCCAAAACAAUUGAAAGCUCUCGAGGUUUACUGUACUCUCCUCAACUGCUAUGCCCAUGUAAAACUUGUGGAAAAAGCCGAGGCCACCAUGCAGAAGAUGAGGGAUCUGGGGUUCGCCAGGACACCUUUGGUCUAUAACGCUUUGCUCAAUUUGUAUUAUAAGACUGGAAACACUGAUAAAUUUGACGUUCUGCUGAAUGUAAUGGAAGAGAGUGGCAUCAGUUGUGACAGAUGCACAUAUGGGAUCCGUCUCAGUGCAUAUGCUGCUGCUUCUGAUCAUGAGGGAAUUGACAAGGUUGUGGCAGAAUGGGAAUCCAAUCCUGGGUUCCAGGUGGAUUGGAUUAAUUAUUCCGUUGCGGCAAAUGGUUAUGUGAAAGUAGGAAAUGUGGAAAAGGCUUUGGAAAUGCUAGAGAAGUCUGAAAAACUGAUAUCAAGCUCUGAAAGACCGAGGGCAGUAUAUGAGCACCUUAUGACUCAAUAUGCAGUAAUAGGGAAGAAAGAUGAUGUUGUGAGACUCUGGAAACUUUACAGCAAGCACAUGAAAAUAUACAAUAAGGGUUAUAUAGCCAUAAUAACCUCACUCUUGAAGUUUGGUGAUGUUGAAAGUGCUGAGAAGAUCUACGAAGAAUGGGAAUCCAGGGAAUUAACUUUUGAUAUUCGUAUACCUAAUCACUUAAUUGGUGCUUAUGCCAGAAGGGGCCUUUUUGACAAGGCUGAAGCCUUUCUUAACAGGAUAAUACUUAAGGGUGGGAAACUGGAUACACGGUCAUGGUUUACUUUGGCAAGAUUGUAUCUUGAUCGUAAUCAAAUUGAGAAGGCAGUUGAGUUGAUGAAGAGAGCACUUUUGACUGAGGGGCCUCAGUGGAUGCAUGACAAGGGUGUUUUGGCUGUCUGUUUGCGACACAUGAAAAAGAGAGCAGAUCUGGAGGGAGCGGAGGAGUUUAUAAGACAGCUCGGGGAUAAUUGUGUUAUCCCCGUAAGUGUUCAGGAGAGAUUGUUGGAUUAUAUUAAUAAAGAUGAUUCAGUCUCUAGAACCAGGUGAAGUGGAAUGGGAUGAUCUGAAUGGAGAUAAAGAAACAAGUGGACCUUUAGAAGCCGAGGGGACUAGUAGUAGUUAGGAUUAGAGACUCCUGAAAAUUUAGGUAAAGGCAAGUCAACAGCAGGGACUUGUAAAGAUGUGCGUGAGGAUGAAGCUGACGUGUAUUCAAGAUAUCAUUUUUCUGUCAAUGAAGAUGUUGCUUUUGUUUCUCUAAUCUGAUCAUGAAGUUUGCUGCAUAUAUAGAGGACUUGAAUGAAUUUUAUUUUGUAUUUUUCCUAUUCAUGAAGAUGCAGAAAUUCCCUGAACAAUUUUCUGGUACUAUUGGCAUGCUUGUGUCUACUAAAAACCACUCUUGAACUGCAAUUUUGAGGUUCCUGAAGAUUUCUUUGUAUAAAUAAGCUGUCAUCUACAUACCCAACAAAGGGAAAUUAAUAAUGAGCAGUAAAAAGACACAAACCCAACUCAUUUAAAAUUGAUCAACAAUUCCAGCAAUUGAGAUGUAGUGAAGUAGAGAGUGGGGAAUAGCUCAGUUGAUUGAGCUCUUUGGCCUCAAACUCUCUGGACAGAGGCUUGAAUCUCCCUUCCCAAUCGCUUGUACUAAAACAAAAUGCGGCUAAGUAAUUAAAGCUCCUACUAAAAAUAAGUGUUUAGCGGAGGGUAAUAUUGGUAUUUUGCAUUUUUUUUAUUUAUCUGAUUCUGGAUUUUAUUAAGUGACAAAAUAAACCAACCUCCUAUCGAAAACCCUGCCAAAAUGGAACAAAACCUCUCGGCCCAAACCCUCCCCAACUCACUCUCCAACCACCAAGACGACGACGAGGCCGCCGCCGACGACAAUGACCCACCGUCCCUAAGCCUUCAAGCCCUAGAAGCUCUCAAGGAGUUCCUAGCGGAGCAAAGCCAGCCCUUACCUGAUACCGCCGCCGAGAGCCGAGCCGCAGACUCGGCAGCUCCAGCUCUCAUCUCCGAAGACUGGAGACUGAGCCAGUUCUGGUACGACCCCCACACCGCCGAAACCCUAGCCCAAGAGGUCCUCACUCUCUGCAACUCGCUCCCCGACUCGGCCGCUAGGGUUGCUUGCGUCGCUUGCCCCUCACUCUACGCCUACCUCAAGGUCCCUUUCAUCUUUUCGCUCUCUGGGUUUUAAUUUAAUGUUUGUUUGUUUUUAAAUUUAAUAUUUUUACUGAUUUUUAUUUAUUUAUUUAUUUCUAUUUUCAGAACAAUGAUUCUGAGGUGCCUGUGCAACUGCUUGAGUAUGACAAGCGGUUUGAGCAGUACGGGAGUGAUUUCACGUUUUAUGAUUAUAACCGACCUGAAGACUUGCCAUUGGAGCUCAAGCAUGCUUUUGACAUUGUAGUUGCUGAUCCCCCUUACCUGGUGAGCAAAAUUAUGCUUCUUUAUGUCAUUUGGUUCAGUGUUAUAACUUAUGGGUAUGUGUGUUAUGUAGCAAAAUAAUUUGAAUCUGAGUCUUCAUGCACUCUGUAUGAAUUAAGAUCUACCAUCGAAAUACAUUUUCGUGACUGUGUUUGUACCAUGCUUGGUGACUGCAUUGCUUUUUCUACAUCUCUCGUAUAGAGGUCGAAUCUGUAUUCAUAGGUAGGACUGUGAAGUUGUGGUUAUGAACCAAUUGCUGAUAUAGUAUAACUGGUGUUUACAGAGUCGGGAGUGCUUGGAGAAAGUCGCUCAAACUGUUUCAUUUCUUGCACGAUCAGAAAAAUCUUACCUGCUUCUCCUCACAGGUAGACAUUUCCCUCCUAUAUAAUUGGCAAAACAUAAUAAGAAUAUUGCCAUUCCUGCACAAGCUACACUGUAAUUACUGUGCUACAAGACAGGAUUAAAACAUUUCACCAAUGAGAUUUUUGUUAUUGGAAUCAGAAAUUGAACAAGUGUUAUUGCUAGCACCUUUCAGUUUGUUGCAACUAACUGUUAUAUGAUGACUUGCAGGAGCGGUGCAGAAAGAGAGAGCAGCCGAACUCAUGGGAUUACAUCCAUGUGGUUUUAGGCCUCAACACUCUAGCAAACUAGGAAACGAGUUUCGGCUAUUCACAAACUAUGAUCCUGCAAUGAGAUUAGAAGGGUGGGAUGUUGAGAAGUAGGAACUCUGUAUUCUCGUGUGACCCUAAACUGGUAAGCAUAGAUUGGUCGGGGGAAAUUUCUUUCUUCCGACUCGGUAUUAUGUAGUGGAAUCUUACAUUUUCUGUGUGAUAAAUUUUGUUGUUCUCAAUGUCAUCUCCACAUGCUAUGAGCACAGUUAUAAUAUUCAUACUUAAUUAGGACCGAGUAUUUUGUGAACUCUGAACCGUUCUGACUUCUGAGCAUGCGGUAAUCAUUGUACUGGCAUUUUCUUUCUUUUUUACCAAGUUAUAAAUAAUGCCUAGAGCUCUAGAUGGUGGAAUGUUACUGUGGUUAUAUGGGUGAACUUUUGUCUGCAGAUUCAACUGCUGGAGAAUCAAACUGUGUCGCCUGCUAGGCAUAUUCUGGAUGCUAGAAUGAUGAUGUCAGAAUCUGUCAUGUGGCAUCAAUUCAGGCUAAAGCAGAUCAGUGUACAUUGCUACUCCAGUCUGUUUUAUCAUCUGUAGUUGUUUUUCAGUUUCUUCAACUCCCCACCCAACUUUUGUAAGCCAAAUUUGAUUUGUUAUGUGUAUUUGCAUCGCCCAAAAUUUCACAGGAUAGAAAUGUAUCUUCUUUUUUUAUUGGAAGAUAAAUCUACAUCCUCAAAUCAGUACUUGCAUCUUGACAAAUAUCAAUUCUCUCUUUAUUUGCUUAGAGUCUUCGAGUUUCCUUCCUCUCACUCACUCAACAGAAUAAGAACACUGAUGGGAGGGACAGAGAAAGAGGAGGAGAGAUGAAAAGUGCUAUGCUUCCAUGUUAAUUUGUUUCAUUUGAAUGGACAAAAUAACCUUAAAUUUAACAUUAAAGGCAAAUCGGCACGUUUUAAAAGUUUGAGUGGUUCAUAACCAAAUUGAUAGUUCGAGGGGCUCAUAGCCAAAUUGAUAGUUCGAGUAGCAAAUCUGAAGGUCAUUACUUUAUGAGACAUUGCUCAUAACCUCACACCAAUCGUUGGAUGUACAGUGCAAUUCAUCAAAUGAAAAAUCUAUGUUACAAAAUACUUUUCUAACCAAUUUGCAUCUUCUACAAUGGCUCUCUUCUAGGCAAGCCAAAGUAUUCUUUCUGCAUUAGAGACGACCUUAAACAUGAAUUUUGGUGCAGAGCUUCUUCAUAGGCAUCUGUUUUCGGUUGAAGAAUAUGAGUCUUGUGUCGAAUGGCGGAAUUAUGCUCGGGUUUGGAUGAGAUCUAACUCGGUGCAAAUUUGUGGAACUUUCGAAACUUUGCACUCCUUGUUCGAGAAGAUUCAAAGAAGUUACUCUCUUCACAUAGAUAUUUUAGAUACAACUCAAACAACGUGUUCCAAAUGAGAAAUUCCUUAAUUAUCAAAACAAAAUUAGGGAUUAAAACAAGAGAACCCUUCUUGGAUUUAACCCGGUGUCCAAUUUAAAUGCGGGCCUUCUCAACCCAACCCACGAUUUGUUUCAUGGACCCGACCCGCCCGUAUUUCACGAUCCGAGUUGGAAAAGAUGGAGAGUUCGAGAUCCCCGCACAACGCAAACACAAAAAAGCGAUUUGGUGCUCUCCAAGACUUACUUCCAACUAAAGUUUUUUCAAAACCAAGUCACAUAACUGCAGCAGCAGCAGCAAGAAGAAAUGAGGCCAAACAUCGUUUCCGAGGUAAAUCUCACAACUCUCCGAUGCUCUCUUUCCCAUUGGUUUUUACCUUCAACUUCGCAUAUUUCUCAGAGAGUUAUAGUUUUCUCUUAAUGUUUUGUUUGGUUGCUGAGAAAAUGCGGAAAAUUUUGAAUCUCGUUAAGUACAGCACGAGGUAAUUUUUUUCUUGGAAAACUGGCAAUAUGUUAAACAAUGGAAUUUAGUUGCUUUGAGCUUCUCAAUUUUUGUUGCUAAAAAUAUGCAGAUUUUUUUUUGGGGGGCUAAAAAUGGGCAGAUAUUUGAGUUACAUUUGUACUCUGCUCUCAUGAAUGAUCUGUUAGGAGUUUCUUACUUCUUCUUCUUCUUUGUUCUUUAUUGCACAUAUGUACUUUCAUGUUUGAGCUUGUCUUGGUUGUGUUUAGCUGCAACAUCAUGAAACUUAAAUAGACCAUUGAUUUCUUUAUUUAUUUUUUUUAUUUUGAAAUUAGUAUUUACUUGGAUAUUCAUGGCUUGCGUGUUUGUUUUUAUAUCUAAUUAAUUUUGUGUUCUAGUAAAUUUCAUAUUGAUUCUAUGUUUGGGUGUAUAGGCAGGACUGCAAACUAGGUUGGGGCAAUGGUGGGAGAGCAUUCCUUUUCUUACUUCUGCGGUGGUUGGCGUGUGUGGAACUGUUUACUUGAUCUGUCUCCUGGUUGGAUAUGACUCCUUUUACGAAAUAUGCUUUUUGCCCUCUGCAGUUCUAUCAAGAUUUCAAGGUAAAUUGUUGAAACUGAAAUCUGACAUGAUUGGUACAUUCAUUGGUCAGUUUUGAAUUUAUUAGUUAUUGGAAAGAAGUCCAAUUUUCCCAACCUCUUUCCUGGGGUUAAACAUGCCCUUCCCUGCCCCUCAUUCUCACACUAUUAUUCUUGAUGUUUCACUUCUGGAUAUAAUUGAGGAUUGUGCAACUUAACAUCUUUGUUAUUCUUCUGUUCUGAUUUCUAUAAUUUUGAUGAUGCUACUAAAAUUUUACUUUGCCACAAAGCAGAGGUCCAUCAUUUUUUUUUUUGGUCAAACAUCAUUUCAAGUUAUGUUCAAGUUCACAUGAUUUUGGUAAUAGACCUUAUGAUUUGUAGUCCUUUAUACUAAUAAACAAAUUAAGAUUAUUGUAUCAUGUUUUAUAUUCUUCUGGUGUUGUCACUAUUUCGCCAAUAUUGGAGAUACUUUGUUGCAUGAAUGUGGAGGCUUGAAGUUUUAAGAUUAAUUAAGUGACUUUAACACCAUUAGUACUGUUUAGCUGUUUUGGUUGCUCCCUUGGAUUCUUUUAUGUAUAAGUCCAGCACACUGGGCUAGAAACCUGCCAGUAGUUUCUUCGAUUUAGUAUUGCCCUAGAUCAUGAUCUUUUAUGAUCAAGCUACAACCUGUAUUUUAGUUCCUCUAUUAUCAAGCUACAACACAAUCUUUGUGUCACCUGCCUGGCCCAAUUUGAAGCCUCGAAUAGAGAAUUGAACAGCUGUUCGUUUUGAUCUCUCUCUUUUUCGUCAAUCAAAAGCUCAAUUUAGCUUAUGUUUAAUAAUCAACAAAAAUUAUUUGGGUGAUUUGUUCUGUUAAUAGAUAAAAAGAAUAGCCUGUUAUUGCAUGCACUCUGACACAUCUCAUGGUCACUUUCUGUUCUCCUUUUCAGUCUACAGGAUUUUCACCUCCAUUAUCUUUCAUGGUUCAGUGCUUCAUGUAUUGUUCAACAUGAUGGCAUUGGUUCCUUUGGGUUCUGAGUUGGAGAGAAUCAUGGGAUCUGUCCGCAUGUUGUACAUAAUCUUUCUUUUGGCCAUCAGCAAUGCACUGUUUCAUCUUACGAUUGCGCUUUUGGUGGCCUAUAAUCCCAUUCACUCUGAUCCGUAUCUCAUGAAUGAAUGUGCAAUAGGCUUCUCGGGAAUCUUGUUUUCUAUGAUUGUGAUAGAGACAAGUCUGAGUGGACACCAGUCUAGAAGGUUGGCUUUUCUAAUGUUUAAUUUCAAAUGUAUUACAUACCAUGGUUUUGUUUUUUCACUGAGUGAGAAUUUUGCAAAGGCUAUCUUUUCCCUAACCUAGAAUAAUUAGAUAUUCCGAAGCUUUCAUGUAUUUGAUCAUACAUAUGGGUGCUAAGACAUCCACCGCAUACACAGCUGCACAUUAGAAUUCUUUUCCCUUUUUUCUUUCAUUCUUGACAAAUGUAUUGGAUUCUACUAACUCACAAACUUUUCUCUCUGCAGUGUCUUUGGACUCUUUAACGUACCUGCUAAAUGGUAAUUACAGUAACAUGCUUAUGUGAUGUCUAAUUCUGUUCAUUUUACAUUGCCUUUUUUGGUAAUAUUUUGACAUAUUUACUUAAAUAUCUGUUUCAGGUAUGUAUGGAUCUUGCUGGUAGUGUUCCAAGUUGUUAUGACAAAUGUUUCUUUACUGGGGCACCUAUGUGGCAUUUUGUCUGGCUUUGCAUGUAAGUUUUCUCCCAUUCUAAUAUUAUUCCCCUCUUCUAUUUUGCUGUGCCAUGUUACACGAGGGAGUUGGUGACAAUUCUAUGUCUUGUCUUUACAAUACAGAUACUUACGGAUUAUUCAAUUUCCUCAUUCCCGGACCAUCCUUCUAUUCUACAAUUGAGGCCACCUCGUUGCUUGUAAGUAAACUGCUUUUGAUGAUCGAUCAAUUUGGAAACUUACUAUUAUUCUUUUAUCUUUUCCAACCUGUGCAUUCAUAAUUUGCAUGGAUGUCUAAUUGUUGUUCUUUUAAAAUAUUAUGUUUUCAGUCAACUUGUGUGAGGCGGCCUAAAUUUAUUUUGUGCACUGGUGGGAAUCCUUCAGCCUUCAUCCCUACAUAUUCAAGCCAAGGUACAGCAUCUAGGUAAGUAAUAUUUUUUUGUUUUUCAAUGUUUCCUUGUUGAAAAAUUAAGCACCUUCUGCUCUUCUUAACAGACUACAAUUAUAUGUACUAUAGUCGUAAAAUGAUAUAUUUUCUUAACCAGUGGAUUCUCUGCCGGAAGUGUCUGGAGAAACUUGUCUUCAUGGAUUCCACAGAGGGAAACAUCUGCACAGGUUUUGUUUUUCUUUUUCUUCCACUUGUGUUAAUGCUGUUUUACCCUUCAAUUCAAUCUUUAAAAUUGCACACUUCGUUGUAAUCUUUAACCCUCGGUGUUUGGUGAAUGUAGAUUAAGUUAUUGAAUUUGAUGACUUCCUAUUGUAAUAAUGCAGUCAGCACAAGACGGUCACAUGUUUCCUGGGAGGGGAAGAACACUUGGAUCUGGUCGAAAUACUGCUUCUGAUGCUAAUUCAGAAUCAAACUUACAGGUUAGACUUUUGGAUAAUAGCAACUCAGAACAUCCAUCAGACAUGGCAGUUAUUGGUACAGGACAGCAGUUAUCUGAUGGAAGGUACUAGGAAAACUUCCUGCUUCUAGGUUAACGAGCUAUUUCUGUUCAUGGAUUGUGUUUUUCAGUUUACAAGAAAUUUGGUAGUUAGUUCAUCACUUGUAAAGGCUUUCUUGUUCUUUCACCCAUGCAUUUCUAUAUUGAACGGAUUCAGAAGAGUUUUUCUCGUUGAUGAGAAAAGAUAUGUAACUGAGGUUACACUAUCGCAACAGUCUUUCACGUUGAUUAAGAUGCAUGAGUAAUUUUUUUCCAGAUGUGGAAAAGGUUAUAAUGUUAGUGGUAGUGGUGGUAAUGGUGAUUCUGGCAUUAACAUUGUUAAUGAUUAAUCACUACUAAUGGCUUGUUGUAAAGAUAGAAAAUUAUCUUGCCUAUGAUUAAUCACUACUGAUGGCAUGUUUUAGAGAAAGAGAGAGAACUUUUCUGUGCUAUGAAAUACAAAGGAAUGUCUUUACUUUUGUGACUUGGACAGUAAACCCAUCACUCCUAACCUCGGGCCUGAGUCAUGUUUAAAUAGUGCAAAAAAGAAUUUUUACAUUAGUUUGUUAUUCGAAGAGUUCCUAACCAUGCUUCUGACUGGAAACUGGUACUAUCUAUUUCCUUGAUAUUUUCAGGCGGUCAACCCUAAAUAAUACAUCAGUCGCUGCAGCAGAAGUUCCUGUGCACCAUCAGGUUUGUUCUUUUAAUCAAUUUCCUUUCAACAUCUUCAAGCUCAUCUGAUUUACACAUGUAUCUUGGUUUACUUGUCAUUUGCGUGCAGGAUUAUGUUAUUUCUGAAGAAGAAAUCCAGAAGCUUGUAUCAAUGGGCUUUGAAAGGGUAAAAAACUUGAAAAUUCCUUUUCCUUGAUCAAAUGAGCUAACCAUCCUAUAUAGUAUACAUUUUCCUUAUCUAGCUUGAUUCAUAUUCGUAGAGUUGAAGAAUGCAAGGCUGGUUAUGAAAAAUGUUUUAGGAUCGAGGAGCAUAGUUUUAUGUUCAGCCUUAUAGCUGAUGCUUGCUUUAAUGAAGAAAUCUUUGAAUGUCACUAAAUGUCUUGGUAUGGGUUACAGACACAGGUAGAAGUUGCUCUUGCAGCUGCAGAUGGGGAUCUUAAUGUGGCAGUGGAAAUUCUGAGCCAACAGGUCUGUCUUUCAAACUCAUUUGUUUCCCAAAUUGUCGACUGUUGAGAUUUCUUGGUUUAAUAAUGGGGAUUGGGAAUUAUCUGCAGGGCUAAUCCAAGCAAGCGAGCUAACUAUUUGACUUCUCAAAAUGGACCUCGGUCGACCCGGUUUGAUGGGCCCGGUUCAUUUUCACGUUUAUGUAAAGUUCCAUGUUCAUUUUCACGUUUAUGUAAAGUUCCAUAUCUGUAUACUCUGUGUAUUGUUUGAGAGCAUGCUGAGAUUAUUUGGUCUGGGGGAAGGAAGAUUCUGAAUGGGAUACCACUACACACACUUAACAUCUGUUUAAAUGAAGGCAGAUAAGUAGUUUAUAACAUUUGACAGCAAUGGAAAAACUAGAGUUGUAAUAUAACAUCCACACCUUUAGCUUUGCAUUGUUUGUUACCCAUUAUCUACUUGUAUAGUGGUUCAUUUACGGCUUGUUUGGUAGUGCUUUUCUCGAAACGCAGAUCUAAUUUGUUUUCUCAAAUAGGACUUCAAUUUUGAGUAAAAUUUUUGUUGUGCUUAUAAUAAAAGUGGUUCUAUAGCAGAAUUGCUUCUAGAUAAGGACUCCCAAAGGGGAGCAAAAGCGUUUUCUACAUAAGCAUUUGUAAUGAUUACAUGGAAAGGAGCUUUUUCAAUUCACACCAUCUGUUAUUUAUUGAUACAUUUUAUUUCUCAUAUAUAAAAACCUAAUGCUUUCCAGACUCCUUGGGUGGCUUAACAAUUACAACUGGGCAUUUUGCGUGAUGUGCGCAGUAGUCACUCACGCUUCCUAUGAAUGUUCUGCACCACCCAACAAAAAACAAAAUUAAAUUAAAUUAAAUUAAUGAGGCAAAUAAAAUAGAAUAGAUGUUGUUUGGAUUUUGCGUGACAAUUGUAAGCAGGAAUUCCAAAUGAACAUAAACAAAAAAAUCACCUCUUGAUUAUGCCAAGGCCACGGCUGCCUACAACCAAAAGAUCCACAUGCAUCUGCUCUGUGGCUUGACAAAUCAUGUCCUUCGGAUCUCCACCUAGAAUUAGGGUUUCUGCUUUGAUCUGCACAAUUACUAAAAUCGUGUUAGUUAAGUUCACCCAAAUGCAUCACAAAACCUCUCAUCUAAUUAUCUGAACCCAUAAUUAGAAUCAUUAAUUGAGAAACUAAUAAUGCAAGAGAAAUCCUUAGAUACAUAAACCAACCUGAUAAAUGAUUAAUUCACAAAAUAACAACAUAAACAUUAAAACAUCGUGUGUGUGUGUGUGUUAAGAGUGCUAAUCUAUUGAGGGAUCUUAAACUUAUGCAAAGAAUCACUGCGAGACUCGACUCGCAUUGUAUUUCCACAAUCAGAACCAUUUAUUUUUUAAGUUUCAUUCAAAUCUAUUGUAUUUCCACGAUCAGAAUCGUCUAUUUUUUAAGUUUCAUUUACAUAUUUAAAAGGAUAGACAAUUCACAAAUUUAUCAUCUACAAAUUUGAUAAACACGGUGUUUAAAAAAACACACAAAAAUAACAACUAUUUAAGCGAGUGUCAAAAUGUGAAAAUAAAGAGUCCUACAUUGAAAAGUUAAGGAAACCUAAUAAAAACUUAUAAGGAGUUGAGUUACUCCCCUUAUAGUUAAUUAGUUUUGGAGUAGAACUUUAACUUCUUUCAUGAUAUAAGAGAGAACGUGUGAGAAUGUAGAUGUAAAAAAUCUCACAUUGAAAAGUUAAAAAACCUAACCAAGGACUUAUAAGAAGUUAGAUUACUCCCUAUUCCCAAUUGAUUUGAUUUUGAAGUAGAACUUCUAACUUCCUUUAAUAUUUCAUCCUACUAAACUAAAUUAAUUACCUUCUUAUCCUUGCAAAUCUCCAAAGCGCGGGCGAGUAUAGCGGCAGCCCUCUCUUCUUGUUCCUUGCGCAAUUCACCAGACACAGCAGCAGAGAGGACGUAGUUCUGGAACGGCUGCAUAACAUAAACAAGAGUCACCAUGCUCACAUUCUCAUGGCUCCCUGCAAGAGGUGCUUCCAGGGUCGCCGUGCCUGUGCUUGUAGCCACAUCAUCGGCGUUGUCCUUGGGCAGCACAAGAAGAAGGUCAAGGGCCCACUUGAGAGCAUAGAAGCUCCCCUCACUUCCGUCUAUGGCCACCACCACCCUCAUCUUCUCCUUCUUCCUCUGUUGCUCGUCGUCCCCGCUUUGCACCACUGCCUGCUCUGCAACUAUUGUUGUCUGCAUCACUUGCUUGGCUGAGAUAUCUUCUUGUUGUGUGGUUUUGUUGGUGCUUUUGAAUGGUAUAUAUACAUACAUACAUAUAUAUUCGUCGCUCUCUCUCUCUCUUUUCAUUUUUUUUUUCCCCUUAGAGGUGAAUUUCCAUUUGUUUCUUAUUUGUUUAGAUUGGAGGUAAAAGGACACGUUUAUGUACGUGGCAAUCACGCAAAUAGAAAAUUCCAAUUCCUCAUACAAUUUUGGCAUUUCCGUGGGGUAUAACUCUUUGUGUUUUACUAUUUUGGUGUCGUGUCAUCCUCGUGACCUGUGAAAUUCUUCUCAAUUUAAAUUUAAUUCGUAAUAUGUAAACUCAAGCUUAUUUGUGAAAGUAACACAUCGUGUCCUGUUUUAUCUGUCGACACUUGGAAAGUCGGGUGGUUUUAUCUGUCGACACUUGAAUUCGGGUGGGACUUUUGAUCGGAUCACAGUCAGAUUUUUAUUGGGUCAGAACAUAAUGGAUGAUCUUCUUUUUCUUACCGAAAGAGCAUGUCACCAAAGAAGCACUGGUGUAGUAUCAGUCAACUUUUUCUGAUGACAACGUCAUAAUUGAGUAAAGGUAUUCUGUUGAGAGGGCAAAUGAACAUAAUUUCUGGGAGUAGAGAAGUUAUUACCUUGUUUGAAUGUAAGUCAGGAAUAUUUAUAAGAGAUGAAGGAGAAAUAGAACUCCUGGCAGGAGGGGUGUCUCUAGCCAUGCUGCCAUCAUGGUUAGAGGGAAUGAUUUUGGCAUCAUGACUUCUUGUGCUUGUUACAAAAGGGAGACGAGCCAAUGGGGACACCUGAAAGGGAGUAGGAAUACAUUCUCUCUCCAACCAUAUGGUGGCACAUGUUCAAGUUGGUGAGCUUUGGGAGGUGGUCCGUUACUAGGUCCCAACUACCCCUAAUUCCCGGGGUGGAUCACUAAGAGUAUCGACUCCUUACACAACAUUUUUAGAUAAAAUUUAGGAGGAGGUGAGAAAACUCAACUCCAACCAUACUCUCUUUCCAACUCUUAAAAUAUGAAGGCCUAUAGAAGUUCUUAAAUUUGAUGAGAAAGAAAGAACUCUUAGAGGCUCCCUAUAAUUAAAUGAUGCUUUACUUUAAUGCUAACUAUUUUGUAUUAUUAUUAUCCGGUGGACUCCAUUCUUUUCUAUCAUGUGAGAAAACCUUGUUUGAUUGUCAACAGCCCUAGGAUUGGAUUCAAUAGUAGCUGAAUAAAUAGAUGGGGAUUCCUUUCAUAUGAAGAGUGAGUAUUUAUACUAAACUAAAAAAAUAAAUAAAUAAUUUAUGAUUCCCUAAACUAGAGAGGAUGGUUGGAAUUGAAAUUUUAUAAGGAGCUUCUAAAAUAGCUUCCUAGUGUUUUUAGCUAAAUUUUAACUGAAAAAUAAGGAACAUGAUUAUGGAUGCUCUAAGCGACCAAUGUGGUCUCGGCCCCCCUCACCUAUUUUAUAUUUUUAUAAAUAUAUUAUAUAUAUACUAAUACUUAUAUAUAUUGAUAUAUUUUAUAUUACCUUUAAUAUUUCAAGAAUUUCAUUUUCAUGCAUACCUCUUUUCUUAAAUUUACUAAAUCUGUUACUUUUUUAUUUUAUUUUUUUUUAUAACACAAAUCCUCAAAAUCUAAUUCUUUUUCAACUAUUUCUCUUUUUCUUUUUUUUUUUGUGGACACAAAAACUUCCUCCUUCCUCUUACAACCAUGUUUGUGACUUUUGUUUAUUUUUCUUAUUCUCCAUAUAAUAUAUUAUCAAAUUCCAAUUGAGUUAAGUUACUUAAUUCAGGUUUGUUAAAAUUUAUCUUUUAUUUAUUUAUUAUUUUCUCUCCACCUAUGAUUUGUUUGGGUUUCAGAAAUUUUUUAUUAUGUUCUCAUCACAUAUGGUUUGUAUAGAUUUUGGAAAUUUUGAUUUAUUCUCUACUUUGAGUUUAGUGAAUCUUCCAAAACAAUUAUGUGUAGAUUACCAAAUGAAAAAGUUGUAAAUAUAAUAUAUAUAGCUUCAGUUGAGGGAUUCCUCAAAUAAGUUUAUUUUAAGGACACUUUUGCAGGGUCCACUCCAUAUUGUAUUUCACUAAUUUAAACUGUCUAUUUUGUAGAUACUCAUUCAAAGAUCAUCUCUACAAAAAAUCACUUUCAUAUCAUUUGACGACUCAAUUAAAUUAUUGAAAUUUUAGUAUUUUCUUAAAGCACCGUGUUCAUUAAUUUUGUAGAACACAAUUUGAUAUCGAAACGGUCUCCGAUUUGUGUAAUUUUUUGCAAGAAUGAUCUACGAAUAUAGACUUAAAAAAUAGAUAAUCGCACUUCCAAACGGACACUCUUACCUUCAACUUGCCUCCGACCGAAGGUGCAUGAGUUAACCGAUCAGUAUCUAACACUUCUUCAUUUCGUCUUUAUAUUGAUGACGAGAAGACAAAUAUGCCCCUAAUUAUACCAUAUUUGUACUAAUUACAUGAAAAUGAACUUACUAUUUGACUUCUCAAAAUGGACCUCAGUCGACCCGGUUUGAUGGGCCCGGUUCAUGUUCACGUUUAUGUAAAGUUCCAUAUCUGUAUAUAUAUUCUAUAUUGUUUGAGAGCAUGCUAAGUCAAAGCACUACCAAACAUGUCCUAACUCGAAUUACGAUACAAGAAGAUAACUUGAAGCACGAUGUUAUAUUACAACUCUAGUUUUUCCAUUGCUCUCAAACAUCUUAUGAACUAUACUUCUAUGCUUUCAUUUAAAUCAUUUCAACAGAAACUAGUGUGUGUAGGGAUAUCCCAUUAGCUUCGACUUAAGGCUUGUUUGAUAGUGCUUCGACUUAAGGCUUGUUUGAUAGUGCUUCGACUUAGGACCUAUUUAGUAGUACUUUGACUUAGGGCUUGUUUAAUAAUGCUUUUCUCAAAACGCCUAUCUAAUUUGUUUUCUCAAAUAGGACUUUAAUUUUAAGUAAAAUUUUUAGGGAUAUGAUUUCCCCAAUCCCUUUUUCUCUACUUACACUCCCUUUUACUUUUUAAUACUUUUUAAUCAAUUUUGUUAAUUCUCUUUCCUAUUCUACCCUUACCCUACAUUAAUUUCAUUUUACUUCACCUUUAUAUUAGUUCUUUUUCUUUAUACUUCAUUUUCCAACUUGUAUUCUAUUUUCAAUAAUUUUUUUCUUCUUUUAAUCGAGUAAGAAAUUAAUUAAUUAUUUUUUUUAAUACUAAAAAUGGAGUGUAAAUUAAAAAAUUCAAUAUUUAAAAAAAUAAUAUUUAAAAAAAAAUUAAUGUAAGAUAAGGAUAGAAUAAAAAAGAGAAAGAACAAAAUUGAUUAAAAAAUAUUGAAAAGCAAUGGAGAAAUCAGCUCCCAAUUUUUAUUGUGCUUAUAAUAAAAGUGGUUCUAGAGAAGAAGUGCUUCUAGAUAAGCACUCCCAAACGGGAGCAAAAGCGUUUUCUACAUAAGCAUUUGUAAUGAUUACAUGAAAAGGAACGUUUUCAAUUCACACCAUCUGUUAUUUAUUGAUACAUUUCAUUUUCAUAUAUAAAAGCCUACUGCUUUCCAGACUCCUUGGGUGGCUUCACAAUUACAACUGGGCAUUUUGCAUGAUGUGCACAGUAGCUACUCACGCUUCCUAAGAAUGCUCUGCACCACCCAACAAAACAAAUUAUAAAAUAAAAUAAUAAUACAAAUCAAAGACAAUAGUGCUGAUGAAAAUUAAAUAUUUAUAAUUUUUUUUUUUUGGGGAUUUCGAGUGAAUUCCAAAUGAACAUCCUGAAUUUGACAGAGAAUAAUCUGAGUUCAGUAAACAUGUAAUAAGCUGUGUCUGUGUGGAUGGAGAAAAUCACCUCUUGACCAUGCCAAGGCCACGGCUACCUACAACCAGAAGAUCCACAUGCCUCUGCUCUGUGGCUUCGCAAAUCCUGUCCUUCGGAUCUCCACGUAGAAUUAGGGUUUCUGCUUUGAUCUGCACAUCAUGUUAAUUAAGUUCGUCCAAAAUGCAUCGCUACAAACCCAUAAUUAAAAUCCUUAAUAAAAAAAAUAUAAUUAAGAAACCAACCAACCUGAUAAAUGAUUAAUUCACAACAUAACAACAUAAACAAUUUUUUUUAAAUAUCAUAACAUAAAUUUUUUUUUUUUCCUUUCUACUAGCGAUAUUCUACUUUAAUCUGAUCAUCUAACCAUCUAACCUAAACUAUAGAGAAGAGGAAAAAAGGGAUUCAAACUUGAGUGCAAAGUGAUGAGUACGUCCGCAAUUCGGCUAAGCUCAUAACAACAUAAACAUUAAAACAUCGUGUGUGUUAGUGCUAUUCUAUUGAGGAAUCUUAAAACAUAUAUGUAAGGAAUCUCUCGUUAAUUACCAUCUUAUCCUUGCAAAUCUCCAAAGCACGGGCGAGUAUAGCAGCAGCCUUUUCUUCUUGUUCCUUGCGCAAUUCAGCAGACCCAGCAGCAGGGAGGACGUAGUUCUGGAACGGCUGCAUAACAUGAAUCAGAGUCACCAUGCUCACAUUCUCAUGGCUCCCUGCAUGAGGUGCUUCCAGGGUCGCCGUGCCUGUGCUUGUAGCCACAUCAUCGGCGUUGUCCUUAGGCCCCACAAGAAGAAGGUCAAGGGCCCACUUGAGCGCAUAGAGGCUCUCGUCACUUCCGUCUAUGGCCACCAUCACCCUCAUCUUCUCCUUCUUCCUCUGUUGCUCGUCGUCCCUGCUCUGCAAACUAUUGGUGUCUGCAACACUUGCUUGGCUGAGAUUUCUUCUUCUUCUUGUUGUGUGGUUUUGCUGGUGCUUUUGAAUGGGAUAUAUAUGUAUAUAUGUCGGUCUCUUUUCCUCAAAGGUGAAUUUCCAUUUGUUUGUUUGUAUUGGAGGUACAAGGACACGUUCGUGUACGUGGCAACCAUGCAAAUAGAAAAUUCCAAUUCCUCAUGCAAUUUUGGCAUUUCUGUGGGUAUUAUCGGUAUAUGAGAUGAGAUAGACCUCGACGCAACCCUUUGUGUUUUACUAUUUUGGUGUCCUGUUUUAUCUGUGGACACUUGGAAGAUCGGUGGGUUUUAUCCGUUGACACUUGGAAGGUCGGGUGGUUUUAUCCGUUGACACUUGGAAGGCCGGGUGGUUUUAUCUGUUGACACUUGAAUUCGGGUGGUCAACUGAGGAGUUUUGAUCGGAUUCGGAAUCAGAUUUUUAUUGGGUCAGAACGUAAUGGAUGAUCUUCUUCUUCUUACCAAAGUGCAGGUCGGACUUGAGAUUUUAAAGGCCAUGACGAAGUCGAAAUUAAAUCCUAUAUAUAUAUAUAUAUAGCUUCACAUAAAAUAUUUUAUUUUAUUUUAUUUACAUGUGUGUAAAAUAUUAGAAAAUAUAGCUUUGUAUAACUAUAAUAAAAAGUUUAGACCUUUAAACAAAAUAAAUUUUAUUUUUUUAUGUCUUCAUAUAUAAGAAAAGGAUGAUUAAAGACCAAAAAAAAACAUUAAAGUACUAAAAAGCAUACCAGCAAGUGGGGACACUUGGAAGGGAUUAGGAAUGCAUUAAAUUCUCUCUCCAAUCAUAUGGAUUACCCCUUGUUGGUCUUAGUUAGAUCUACACCUUCAGCUUUGCAUUGUUUGUUACCCAUUAUCUUCUAUGAUGUGCUUCGACUUGGGGCUGUUUAGUAGUGAUUUCUCAAAACACCUAUUAAGUUCUGUAAAUGAAAAUUCCAUUGUGUUUAUAAUAAACACGUUUCUAAAGCAGAAUCGCUUUUUUGAUAGAGUAAUGCUACAGACACCAACUUAAAUACCAACUUAGUGAUACCAACUUAUUUGGCACGUGACAUGUCAACCCAUGUCAUCUAUCAUCGCCUCACUUCCCAAAUCUGGUCAUGGUUUCAGUUAACAGACUAUACAGAUUCUGGUCAUCACCCAUAUUUUUAUCCAUCUUCCUCAUUUUUAUUAGUUUGAGCCAUCUUCCAUAUCAAGCAAUACAUCACACAACCCUUCAAUGCUGCAACUGUUUCGCAAUAUUGAUACUUACCAAGGAAUUCUCUUCUCAUUUAUGUAUCAGUGUCGUGGUCAUGUAUGAGAACUUUUUUGCAUACGUGAAGGCAUAGAAGAGUGUACAAACCUCGUUGCAGGGAGAGCCGUGAAGGCUGAAAUUGCUAUACAUAUCAGAUUGGUAGAGGUCAAACGUGGGGUGUGAGUAAUGAAGAUUUUUUAAGGAGGAGGACAUGGUAGAUUUGAGAAGGAUGGAAGGCGUGGAGAAGAAUUUAUUUAUUUAGGGUUUAAGUUUUAUUUAUUUUUAACUAAAUAAUUAAGUUAAUUAUGGCAAUUUUUUUUUUAAAAUUUAACUAAUAAAAAAUAAUAUGACAAAUAACAUAAAUUUUCAUGUGUCACAUAAGUUAAUAUUAAUAAACGCUUUAAAUAAAAGUUCUUUAAUGUGUCACAUAAGUUAAUAUUAAUAAACGCUUUAAAUGAAAGUGCUUUAAAUAAAAGUUCUUUAAUGUGUCACAUAAGUUAAUAUUAAUAAACGCUUUAAAUGAAAGUUCUUUAAACGGAUACUCUUUCUACAUGAAAACUACAUGAAAACUUAAAAAACGCUUUAAAUGAAAGUUCUUUAAACGGAUACUCUUCCUACAUAGGCGUUUCGUUUACUUUUCCUACAUAAGCAUUCCCAAACGGGCACUCCUACAUGAACGUUUCGUUUACUUUUCCUACAUAAGCAUUCCCACAUAAGCAUUCCCAAACGAGCACUCUUAACUUUGACUUGCCCUUCCGACUGAAGGUGCAUGAGUUAACCGACACUUCUCCAUUUCGUUGAUGACGAGAAGACAAGAAAUGCCCCUAAUUAUAUCUAUUAACAAUCUGAAAUUGGUCAACGUAUUAUGUACGUAGCUGGGAGUUUUGUAAUUAGAUGAACAAAAAACUUACCAGAAGAAAACCAUUCAUCAUAAUAAUAAUUACAUGAAAAGGAACUUUUACAGUUUACACCUUCUGCUCUUGAUACAUUUCAUAAUAAACAAAUAAAAACUCUAAUAAAAAGCUACUUCUUUCCAGACUCCUUUGGUGGCUUUCCAGACUCCUUAGGUGGCUUUCCAGACUCCUUAGGUGGCUUCACAAUUACAACUGGGCAUUUUGCAUGAUGUGCGCAGUAGUCACUAACGCUUCCUAAGAAUG
rnacentral:lncRNA from 1 species